GGGGCGGGGACAUUGUUGUCGAGCACCUCCUCCUCUUUGGACACGCGGCCGUCACGGCGGCCCGACGGGACCUUGUAGUCCAGGCCGCCGGCGAGGUAGGUGCUGUCACGGGCCGCGAACGCGACGAUGUCGGCGCAGGAGACGGUGCGCGGGCAGUGCGCCUCGAGGACGGCCUUGGCGUCGUCGAUGACGUCGAAGCCGCGCAUGCUGGGGUUGUUGGCCACGGAGUCCUUCUCGGCCAGGUUGCCCGGCGUGGAGUUGAUGAGGAUGGAGCCGUCGCAGCCCCGGACGAAGCAGUCGUGGAAGUGCAUCCGGAUGAGCCCCGCGCCGACGCCGGGCUCACGGGCGAUGCCGCGGCGGACGGCGUUGCGCACGAUGUCCUCGGCCUGUGCGCAUGAGUGCUCGUAGAAACCGACCUCAAGUUUCCCCGGCGAGGCGUGUACGUGUGCCGCUGAUGAGGAGACGACGACGAGCGCCGACAAGGCAAAUGCCAACCAAGUGGACCUCAUGACGAAGGUGAACAAUUGGUCGAUCAGAUGCUGCUCUCUCACUCUGAGCUUUCUAUCUGCUUUAGCUCUGGAGCUCGAUCGAGAUGGUGACGAGGAGAGGAGAUGAAGAGCUGCUUUAGAUGUUACUCUCUAUUUAUACAAUGUGCUUGGAACCGUGUUUGUGAACCGGGUCAACGAAUAAUAAGCAAGACCCAAUAUAAUCCCUGCAUCGCGAUAACAAUCGAGUAACAACUGCUACAAGAACCGUGUCAGUGGACUUUGUAGUACAUAUAUGUCAGCAUGUACCUAAUAAUGUUGCCCAGACUUGGUUGUAGCAGCAAAUGAUAAGCAAAGCAGACAGUUGUUUAGAGAUCGAAAUUGAUGUUAGUUGCUUGAUCAGAGAAUUCAUGAAGACACAUACAGUUAAUUUUUUUAUUGACAUGGUCGAUGCCCCUAUCGCAUGACCAGGACAAAUCCAAGCCUUGUCCAAAAUGGAUUGUGUCAUCACUAAGGCAAGGUCCAACCGGAGCCUACGACGUGGCCUCAGUGCCUAGGAUGGAAAUGAGCAUAAACCAGAACAUAACAGAUCAAUAGCCAUCAAAACACAGGACAUAGGGUAUUAUCGCACAACGAGAGCAUGAACCACCCUAACCUAUAUAAAUUCACCCUCGGGAAAUCCUUGACAAAGGGUUUUCAAGCCCAACCUACAAAAGCAUUUGAGCAACAGGAGUUUACUAAGAAAGGCAAGUGUUUUCUUGAUCUCGUUCUUUUACCUAAUAAUAUUUAUUAUUAUGUCCUCACCUAUGCAUUGCAGUUAGGUUAACCCGACGGGACCUAAUAGGUUACCUAACUUUGUUUUCCCUGUGCCUUGUGUACCCCUAAGUUACUAAUUAUUGGGUAGACAUUCUUGUGCUCAACUUCGUUUUUGGGAAUAAUGAUACUUAUGAAUCAUGGUCAUAUUUUAUUAUGAUUUAUUAUUGUUGGUUUAUUUAUUAUGCAGGAUAAGGCCACCGUGUUUAAUUGGAACAUGGAGAACCAACCGAGAAAACAAUGUGACCACAAUUACUUUUAUGGCUCUGGUCUUAGCUAAUUGAUUACGAAAGUUGGUGUGUAAGAACCUUCCUCGACAUGGGCAAGCAGGGAGGAGUUGCUCAAGUAUAGGGAGGUUCUUAGGUUGAUCUGCUUUGUGGAAGCUUUUCAGACGAGGGGUUCAUAUACCACCUCUAUUUGAAACCGUAGCGGGUUUUCUCAUGCUAGUGGAAAUUUACAAAGUCCUUGUAGUGAAUCCUGCCUCACCUCCAAAGAAGAGAUUUAUGUGAGUAUUGAGCCCUUGGCAAAUGGGUAACAUGACUAUGGGUUAAGAUGUGCAACCUCUGCAAAGUGUAAAACUAAUAUAUCAGUCGUGCUCACGGUCACAAGCGGCUCGGACCCUCACAUGAUUAAAUUAUAAAAUUAAAAUAAAUCAGACGUGCAUUUUAUUAGGGGUGAAAAUAGGUCGGGUACAUCUAUCGGGUACUGAAUACUUUACUAUUUUCAUAUGGGGACUUAAGGUUAUCUUCAUGUGGGGACUUAAAGUUAUCUUUUUAUAGACUAUUUGUUGUUCUUGGUAACUUAUUUGUAAUUUUUGGCCGACAUUAAAAUAUUUUAUGAAUUUAAUUGUAUUAUGAUGAUUUUCUAUAAAAAAGGAAUUAAUAUUACACAAAUAGCCUAAAAAUUAUGAAAUUUUGUGGAGGCCCAACAUAUGUUCAUAUAUGAUCAUAAAAAAUAUUUGGUAUAUAAAAUUCAUAAGAUGUCAACGUUUCUUCCAUUUCAGUUACAAUUAUUGCGUGAGUUACACGUGAAAUCAUUCUUGAAAGGGAAAUAGGGUUAACCAUUUUCUAUAAUCAAUUUUGGUGGUUGAUGUAUAACAUAAAUCAUAUGGACUAACUAGUUUGUAUAGAUAUCAUUCAUCACAGGUGCAUAAGGUUCAACACAAACCAAGAAACAAAUACAGUUAAGGACUUAAUCAAAAAUUGGAGCAAGACUUAGAGUGUGCUGAUUUUUGGCGCACCGGACAGUGUCCGCCAAGCCAGCCAUCAUCCAAAAUAGCCACUCUCGGGUUUCUGUUGGGCAUGCUCCACUACAAUUCACCGGACUGUCUGGUGCACCAGCGGAUUAACGACUCCCUGCGCGCCAACGAUCGUUUCGUCAGAUGAACAGUGAUGAACAGUGUCACGAUAGAAGUCAGAGUGCAGAAGUCAGAGGUCACCGGACUGUCCGGUGCAGCAAGACGACAAGGCGCUCCAACGGUCAACUGCUCCAAACCCUAAUGGACACGCUGACGUGGCGCGCACCGGACAGUGAACAGUGACUGUCCAGUGCGCGCACCGGACUGUCCGGUGCAUCCGUCGCCAGCAGACUUCACCAAUGGCUAGGAAGUGAUUGAGGGCUAUAAAUACCCCCCAACCACCUCAUUCAAAGCCAUCUCUGCCUUGUUGUUGAAUUCCCUACCAUCCCAGUCUACUGCAUCGGGGGCGACAGCGUAGUGGUCGAAGGUGUAGACUGGGCCCGUCACUCUGGCGUAAUCAACCAGUCCAAGGAAGUGUUCCCUGCAUAGAAGGCCGAGGAUGCCAUUGGGGUUGUGACCAUGACCCCCUGCAUUCUCCACAACCUUCCAAGACCUGUCCAAGUGAUAAAAAAGUAUUAGUUUAUAUUAUGAAUUUGAGCACAUAAUAUGAUCAAGCAGCGAAAACAUCAAGUUACAUGACUCUCCCCAUCCGGCCGAAUCAGCGGCCACCUGUCUUGAAGUAUGGGACGCUGAAGGAGACUCGCGGGACCUUGCAGGUAGACGUUCUUUGAACCUGAGGCGCUAGAACCUGAGGCGUCCUGCUGACCGUUGUCGUCGUCCUGCUACGCCGCGUCAACAGCGGCUGCUCCACCUACUGCUGGACGUCGUCGUCCUGCUGUGCUUCCUCCGCCGUCCUACGAGUGCUCCUCCUCCCCAUCCUUGUCCUCAUCCCACUGCCCACCAUCUUUGUCCAACAAUCUGCAAUUAAGAGUAAGCAAAUAAGCACAUAUAAAAAACAUGUAUUUAGAAACAAGUGCGAAAUAACAAAUAAUAUAGCAUUACAUCGAUUAAAAAUAAUCUUCAUAUGUGUCGGGGUUAGCCAAAUCAUAAGUCAUAUCAUCACUAUCAACCAUUUCAUAGUAAACACCAUCUGAAGGCGCAAGUUCGUCAUUAAUGUCAUUGUCUUCAAGUAUUACUAAGUCAUUCUCAUUUUGGACCUCAUCAUCCUCCUCCUCAAAAACCAUUUCAAUAUCUACUUUCAUUCCGAUAGCUUCGGUUAAGUCUAUCUCAAAUCGCCCUUCUAGCCCAUCUUCUUGGAAGAACUCUCCAUCAUAUGUGUCAGGGUCUAAGUUAUAAUCUUCAUCGUUUGGAACAGGUAAUUUACUGUGCGACGAUGCCUUAUACACAACAUCCCAACCCUUAAGAUGUUCUUUUGUUUAGCACGCAUAUGAGAGAUAAUACACUCGGGUUAGUUGCAUACCCGUCAUGGAACAUCAACAUCUUGAUCCACUGUAGUACUUCCUUCCUUUGGGCCCUGCUGAGGAUGAAAUCGGCCUUAGGCCUUCUCCAUGUCUUUCCACCACUAGGUGGCUUCAUCUCUUGGUUUGGUCUAUCAUAUAACGUUGCCAGAUCCACUCUUGCCUUUAUAUUAUCCUUUGACUUAUCAGGAAUGUCCAUAAUUGUUGCCGAAAGUGCCUCGGUGACAUUCUUUUCAGUGUGCAUCACGUCAAUGUUGUGUGGAAGUAGCAAGUCGUCAUAAUAGGGGAGUGGAGUCAAGCCCGACUUAUGUGUCCACAUAUGCUGCUCACCAUAUCCCACAAAACCACCAUCUGGAUUGGCCACGAGCUCAUCUAUCUAUUGACGAAUUUAGGCACUAGUCAUCAUUGUAGGUGGGUAAUCUGUCACUACGACACCUUUCAUAAAGUUCUUGAUGUCUAGGUGGAAUGGAUGGUCAGGAGGGAGAAAUUGUCGAUGUUUAUCGAACGAUGGAUAUUUGCCACCCUUCUUCAACCAAAUGAACCUAAGAGCUUCCUUGCAAACUGGGCAUGGGAACUUACCAUGAACACACCAGGUGCAGAAUAGCCCAUAAUCCAGUAAGUCAUGCAUGGAGUACUGGUACCAAACAUGCAUUUUGAAGUUUGUCUUCGUUGCUCGGUCAUACGUUUAUACCCCUUCUUCCCAAGCAUGUAUCAAUUCAUCAAUCAAAGGCUCCAUGUACACGCCCAUUUUAUUCCCUGGGUGUUUGGGAAUUAUCCACGACACGAAUAUGUUCUGUUUUUGAAAGCAUACAUCGGGAGUAGAUUGAUUGGGACAACAAACACGGUACAACAUGUGUAUGGGGCAGUGCUCAUUCCAUAAGGAUUGAACCCAUCUGUGGCCAGCGCAACACGUACAUUACGAGCCUCUUCGGCUUUUUCACGGUGAAUAGCAUCAAAAUGUUUUCGUGCUUCACCAUCGAAUGUGUGCACCAUCUUGUCAGGAUUGUAUCGUUUGCCAUUUUUGUGUCAAGUCAUCUGUUUCGCGGAUUCCUCGGUCAUUGUCACACCCGGAUUUAAGGGACAAAACUGGGUGCAUCUCAUACAUGCGCCAAAGAAGACAACAUAUAUAAUAACAGAGUGUAUAAAGAUAAAUGUCACAAUAAUCAGAGUAUUUAUUACAUAGCGGAAGUCUUACAAAAUAAAAGAUAAAUAUAAAAGGAUCUAAAAUCCAUCCUUGGCGCCAGAAAGUGAACUGGGAGAUGCCACCUAGAUCGAAUCGAACUCCUCGAUGUGUGGCUCCACUUGAACCACCUGUUCUUCUCCUGUGGGGGGGUGUGAGACAGCAAGGGUGAGCUCAAACAUGUUCAUCGCUCAACAAGUUGUGGGGAAUAAUGUGCAUGAACUCGCCAAGGUGGGAGCUCAUGAAGUGUAAGGCUGAUCAACAAUAGGGGUUAAAGCUGAGCAUUGCUUUUAAUAAGUUGGUCAAAUUUUAUAGCAAUUACUAAAUGUAAGUAAAUACGAAACCAUAAUAAAUAAUCAAACAAAAUUAAUACAAAUCCCAUGCAAUGCAAAUGACAAAUUGAGUUUAGGUUCCAUAAUUUAAUCAUGCGAGAGUCCUGAGCUGCUCUUGACCGUGAGCUCGGCUAGUAUACCAGUUUUACACUCUGCAGAGGUUGUACCCUUUACCCACAAGUCGUGUUUCCCAUGUCGCCAGGGUUUACAAGGCCCUUAGACACUAUCGAGAUGAAUGGCUAGGGAUCCACUACGAGGCCUUUACAAAGUUCCACUAGCUUCCGGAAACCCGCUACAGUUAUGGGAAGAGCACUUGCAAGAAUCCCCCGUCUAACCGCCAUCGCAGCAAAAUCAACCCGAGAACCUCCUUGCAUGCAACUCCCCUACUGCUUUUGCCCCUUUCAGGUAAGGUAAUCUUCCACUAGAUUUCCUAAUUAGUUAGCCAAGGGGUCCCAUUCCUCCCUUGUGGUGGCACACGUUUCUCAAGUUAAGCUCCAUGUUCCAAUUAACAAUAAUAUAAUGAUCUUAACAUGAACAUAAAUAGCAUAACAGAAUAAUUAGAACAUGGAUAUAAUGAAAUAUUAAUCCCAAAACCAUAUAGAGCAAUAGCAAAACUACCCAAAUGAUUCAGGGAUAAAACAAGGUAAAAAUGAUAACCAGACUAGGGUGACCUAUUGGGUCCCAUCAAAAUUAAACCAUUCAAUAGUGAUAAUAAAGAAUAUUAUUGGGUAACAAAAGUGGAUCAAGGGCACAACUUGCCUGGGACUUGAGAUUCUAGGUACCAACUUGCUCUUCAAGUAACUUGUAACCUCGCUGUUAGUCGUAGCAAUACAAACAAAUAUGGUAUAGACAAAAUUAACAUCACACCAGACAUAAGAACAAAAUAAUAAUCUACGCAAUGCAACGAGGUUGUGGGAACGAGAACUACUAAAGUCGGAGUUACGGUUAAGGAGUUAUGAUUUUAUAGAGGAUUUAUGUGAUUAAAAUAUCAAACUAUAUUAUAAAUUGGUUGGUACAUACCAUAUAAGAUAUUAUUCCAUAAAUAAUUAAUUCAACUUAAAUUUUAAUCAUAACUUGGCUAGAGAUCAUGCUUUAAUCCUAUUAUAAUUAUGGACAUGUUAAAUUUGAUUCAGAAGAGGUAUUCUAGUAGACAUAGGUUAAAUAAUAUCAAACUAUAAAAUUAUGAAACAUGGUAUUAUUAAUACUGUUACUGUGUAGGUAAUAUUUAUAUGAAUCUAAUGCAACUUGAACGAGUCAAUUCAGAGUUAAAAUGGAGGAGUUCUGAAUUUCCUAAGGUUUUAUGUAUUUGAUAUAAGAUUAAUUAGGAAAUAAAUUUUAAAGUGGCUUUCAUGUUAAAACAAUCAGAAUGAAUUAAUUUGGACUAAGUAUGCAUUUUCUAUGCAUUAAACAAAUUCUAGCAUUCAUUUUUCUUUAAAAAUCAUUUUCUAAUUCCUUUUUCUAGAUUUUAUAAUUCUCUGGACUGGGCCUCAAUUACAGGAAAGUCCAGGGGUUAAUGCGCGAAAAGUCCCAAGACACAGAUCUACCCCGCGGUGGAUGGCGGGUUAAAUAACCAAGACUCCGAGGGCUCAUUUGCAUUUAUUCCUGGCCGAAGGGGUAUCGGCCGCUCUCAUACGUCCGAUCAUCCGCGAACGAUCCAGAUUAUAUUUCCUAUAAAGCGAAACCGGUAUGUCAUACGAGCCGUUAGAUGCCAGAUCCACGGCCCACAUGAGCGCACACUCUUUUACCCCCUUUCCCCUUGGAUCAUUAAUCAACAGUCUAGAUUGGUCGGAUCGAAAUGUUACGCUCAAGCGAUCCCAACCGUUCACCAGGGAUGGACGGCGCACACAUCAUCUUCCUCCACUGGUUCCAUCGCAAUUUUCUCCCCAGCCAACCCUUCGUGGUCGAGCGCCAUAGUCAUGGCAGCAUGCUGGUCAGUGCUCGCCAUCCGAGCCCGAAAUACAGCCCGGACGCCACUACUCAAAUCUUACACGGCCACGAUCAAUAGGUAGGAACACUCACCGGGUAAAGUUGUACACCAAGCCGACCUUGACUUCUACUCGCCGAGGGAGCCCACGUCGAGACCCACUUCUCCUCCCACCGAUGACACUGCAAGCUUCAAGGCCUGCCGCCGAUCCCGCAUGCCACUGCCGAGCCCCCAGCGCAGUCGUUUUACGAACGGUCGACGGUGCGGACCGGAGUUCAUAGGCCACCAGGCAAUUCUCUCUCUCUCUCCUGAUUCCUCGAGUGCUCAGAGGUUUCGCAAUGUACUUGGAUGGCCAGGGUGAGGCGGUAGCAACUUCUUAUAUACUGUCGGCAGGGAAAGCCUGCUCUAGCCGCGCAAGCCAGCGGAUCCCAAGCGAAUCACCCAGAAAUUUUGAGUUCGUUGCGCGGUUAGUUGCCAGGGCUUUCGCCAGUAACGAUGAACGCGCGAGUCCGCUGUUAGACCAUGCCGCAGAGAAAGGAUGCCAGUGCUGCAGCUAGCGACCACCCAGGCGAGCCAAGUGUAGAGGAUAGGCUACGUGCGUGACCCCGCGGCAUCCGAUUUCCGUGCUCCACGUUCAAGAAGAUGGUCUGCGCGCCGGGGCUCGGUUUUAUUCCCAAGGAUGUGCCAACCACUCGACCCAGACCCAUGGAGAUCCCCAACCGGAAUCCAGCUGUUUCAGUUAGUGCGGCCCGAUUCAACAGCCGAGUUACGCGGACGCGCAGCCAGCGAGCUUGAUGGGGGUUUGCUCAGAUCCAGUCAUAGGGAAGAAGGAAUGGCUGACAGCACGGUCCCAUUUGUCAGUGUCCGGGAGCGGAACAACGAGCCCGGGCUUCCGGCUGAUGCGCGUGCUGGCGAACGGGUCCGGCCCGUCAGCGAGGGUCGCAAACGUUAGAGCACUGGCAACGUGGGUUCCUCUAUCAGUGACGAGAAAGCCAGCAUGGGCGCGCACGGUGUGUGUCGACCGAGGGGGCCCACUCGUCAGUGACGCCAGGGCGCGCGGGUGAGUUACUUGGGCAGCGCGGUGGGGGAAAAGAUAGGGUUAGUUGGGCCGCAGGUUUAAGGUUUUGGCCCAAAGUCUGUUUUCCUUUUCUUUUUUUCUUUUCUAUUUCAAAUUCCAAAUAUUGAAAUCCACAUCCUAAUUCCCGUUUUGAAUUCAAAUCUCAAAUAUAAUCCAAAUGUGAGUAUAAAUCCUACUAUUAUUAUUAUUUAUCCUCCUUCCUAUUAUUUAAUUAUGGAAGCAAGAAAUGACUUUAUUACAAUUUUUGUUUUAUAUUUUCCAUUUAUCAUUUGAGGUCAAAUUAAAUCUUGAUUCCUUUAUUCCAACAAAAUGCAUCACAACAAAAUCAUUGGCAUGAGGUGCACAUUUCUUUAUUCAUUUAUUUGUUAGUUGAAUAAUUUAAUACCACUAACUGAGUAUGCACAAAGAAAAGAAAGUCAAACAAUUGCUAGAACACUAUCAUAUAGGUAUACUUAUUUAUUUAUCUUAUAUAUAUUUUUUCUCUUAUAUAAAUUUCGGGCUUUACAAAUCCUACCCCCUUAACAGAAAUCUCGUCCUCGAGAUUUGUAAGAAAAGGAAUGCAAAAUGAUUAGUUUGUAAUUUAGCUUUCAGUUUAUAAUUGGUUCAAAAAUCCAGAGUCUCAAUUUUUUUGUCCAUAGUGGUUGAUUAGGAGAGCAUAGGUAUUCAGCCACUUAUUAUGUAGGAUAAAAGCUGGACAGGUUGAAGUAAGAAAGAUUAUGGCAAGGAAAAGACUUUAUCUGGAAUGUUUAAAUCUUGAUUCAUCUCGAGAUUUGCUUUGACUGUUAUAUCCUUCCUUGUCGAUGUUGAGCUUUUUGUCUCCGGUCUUGGUCUCAUUAAUUUGAGGUUAAUGUAUAUCAUCGGGGUUGGGAUAACCAUUGCAGUUACAUAGGGUAGGUGGAGUAAACAGAGUUUUACUUUGCUUUUGGGAUGAUUGGGUUGGACAACCUAUAACAUAGGCUGGGUUGUGGUUUCACGGACAAGUUGGUCUAAGACACCAAUUUUAGGUUUAAAACUCAUUUAUAGGAAUAUGGUUUAGUUAAUACUUGUAACAUAGAUUAGACCAUAUUAGAUUAAGUAGGGUCUAGAUUAGAUUGGAUAUAACUAGAUUAGACUAGUUUAAGUUAGGCAGAUCUACCAGGGUAGAAUAUGUAUUAUUAAUAUAUGCUAGAAUCCUUUGAGAUAGGAUGAAUUAUAUAGUGUAGGUAGGUCAGAAUCUCUGUCGGUUAAAAUAGAGGGGUUAUGCAACCAUCGGAUGGUUAAGGUAGUUGCAUAUGGCCAGGUUGGACUAAGACUCCAAUUUAGGUUAAAACGUAUUUAUAAGAGUAGGAGCUGAUCUUAUUUUACCAAAAAUUAUCUAACAUGUUUGUCCAUUAGGUUAGAUAUGAUCAGAUUAGAUGGGAUCAGAAUUAAAUUGGUAUAAUCAGAUUAGACUAGAUAAGAUCUACUUAUUUUAUUUUGGAAUAGAUCAUGUUUGUUACACUGUUAUGAGAUAAGCAAAGUGAUGGGGAUAAGUAUGCUUAUUAGGACAAGAUGAGUCUCUAAGAAUAAGAUAGAAUCUUUUGAGAUUAGUUAGAUUUAUUAGGCUAAGAUAAAAAUCCUUUCGAGAUGAGAUGAGUUUAUUAAGGUAAUAGAGUAUCUUUUAAGAUAAUAUGGAUCAUUUAAGAUAAGAGAGAGUCUUUUAAGAUGAUAGGGAUCUCUAUGAAAUAUUCAAGUGGGGGUACUUUUAGUUGGUCUAGUUUAUCUCAUAACAAUUUAAGAGGAUAAAAUUUUUUAACAUAAGAUGAUCCUAUUAGGAUAAGGUAGAUUCCCUUAAGUUAAGAGGGAUCCAUUAAAGUAAGAAAGAAUCUUUUAAGGUAAGAAGGAUCCAUUUAAAAUAGAUACACUUUAAUGGAGGAUAAUCUAAGUUGUUUAGUUAUCUCAUGAAUUUUAUUUAUUUAUAUCUAUAUGUAUAUGUAGAUGUAAUUGUGGACAUUACUCCACAAUUAAUCACACUCAAUCAAAGAUCCAAAUCAGACAAGUAUCAUAAGAACAAACACUCAAGCGUAUAGAUACCUAUAAAAAUAGUUUAUUUUUUUGUUCCUAAAAGUAGGUCUCUUAUUCCUAAAGAUCACUUUAGGCACAGGAUUUCAAAGUGUGGAAUCCACAUUUGUCUUUAGAAAGAAAAGGUAAUAAUAAUCAGAGUAAAGCAGAAAUAGAUGAGAAAAGAUUAAGAAAAGUUUAGGAAGGGAUCAGAGUAGCAAAGGUAAGGUUAAUCAGAGUAGAACAGUAGAAGAUGAGAUUGGAUCAAGAAAAGUAUAGAAAGAAUCAGAGUAAGGUAAGUAGGUAAUGGUUGUUUAGUUCUAUCUAGGUUUCGUCCUACAGUCAACAUACCUCUGAUACCACUUCUGUCACACCAGGAUUUAAGGGACAAAACCGGGUGCAUCUCAUACAUGUGUCAAAGAAGACAACAUAUAUAAUAAUAGAGUGUAUAGAGAUAAAUGUCAUAAUAACAUAGCUGAAGUCUUACUAAAUAAAAGAUAAAUAUAAAAGGAUCUAAAAUCCAUCCUCGGCGCCAGAAAGUCAACUAGGAGACGCCACCUAGAUCGAAUCGAACUCCUUGAUGUGUGGCUCCACUUGAACCACAUGUUCUUCUCCUGUGAGGGGGUGUGAGACAGCAAGGGUGAGCUCACACAUGUUCAUCGCUCAACAAGUUGUGGGGAAUAAUGUGCAUGAACUCACCAAAGGUGGGGGCUCAUGAAGUGUAAGGUUGAUCAAUAAUAGGGGUUAAAGCUGAGCAUUGUUUUUAAUAAAUUGGUCAAAUUUAAUUAGCAAUUACUAAAUGUAAGUAAAUACCAAACCAUAAUAAAUAAUAGAACAAAAUUAAUACAAAUCCCAUGCAAUGCAAAUGACAAAUUGAGUUUAGGUUCUAUAAUUUAAUCAUGCGAGAGUCCUGAGCAGCUCUUGACCGUGAGCUCGGCUAGUAUACCAGUUUUACACUCUGGAGAGGUUGUACCCUUUACCCACAAGUCGUGUUUCCCAUGUCGCCAGGGUUUGCAACGCCCUUAAACACUACCGAGGUGAAUGGCUAGGGACCAACUACGAGGCCUUUACAAAGUUCCACUAGCUUCCGAAAAUCCGCUACAGUUUAUGGGAAGAGCACUUGCAAGAAUCCCCCGUCUGACCGCCAUCGCAGCAAAAUCAACCCGAGAACCUCCUUGCAUGCAACUCCCUACUGCCCUUGCCCUUUUGGGGUAAGGUAGUCUUCCACUAGCUUUCCAAAUUAGUUAGCCAAGGGGUCCCAUUCCUCCCUUGUGGUGGCAUGUGUUUCUCAAGUUAAGCUCCAUGUUCCAAUUAAUAAUAAUAUAAUGGUCUUGACAUGAACAUAAAUAACAUAACAGAAUAAUUGGAACAUGGAUAUAAUGAAAUAUUAAUCCCAAAACCAUAUAGAGUAAUAGCAAAACUACCCAAAUAAUUCAGGGGUAAAACAAGGUAAAAAGGAUAACCAGACUAGGGUGACCUAUUUGGUCCCAUCAAAAUUAAACCUAUGCAUUGAAUAGUGAUAAUAAAGAAUAUUAUUGGGUAACAAAAGUGGAUCAAGGGCACAACUUGCCUAGGACUUGAGAUUCCAGGUACCAACUUGCUCUUCAAGUAACUCGUAACCUCGCUGCUAGUCGUAGCAAUACAAACAAACAUGGUAUAGACAAAAUUAAUAUCACACCAGACAUAAGAACAAAAUAAUAAUCUACGCAUCGCAACGAGGUCGUGGGAACGAGAACCACUAAAAUCGGAGUUACGGUUAAGGAGUUAUGAUUUUAUAGAGGAUUUAUGUGAUUAAAAUAUCAAACUAUAUUAUAAACUGGUUGGUACAUACCAUAUAAGAGAUUAUUCCAUAAAUAAUUAAUUCAACUUAAAUUUUAAUCAUAACUUGGCUAGAGAUCAUGCUUUAAUCCUAUUAUAAUUAUGGACAGGUUAAAUUUGAUUCAGAAGAGGUAUUAUAGUAGACAUAGGUUAAAUAAUAUCUAACUAUAAUAUUAUGAAACAUGGUAUGAUCAAUACUGUUACUGUGUAGGUAAUAUUUAUAUGAAUCUAACGCAACUUGAACGAGUCAAUUCGGAGUUAAAAUGGAGGAGUUAUGAAUUUCCUAAGGUUUUAUGUAUUUGAUAUAAGAUUAAUUAGGAAAUAAAUUUUAAAGUGGCUUUCAUGUCAAAAUAGUGGUACUAACUGAUAAACAAUAAUAUUACAAAAUUAUAGGAAUUGGAAUGAAUUAAUUUUGACUAAGUAUGCAUUUUCUAUGCAUUAAAUAAAUUCUAGCAUUCCUUUUUCAUUAAAAAUCAUUUUCUAAUUCCUUUUUCUUGAUUUUAUAAUUCUCUGGACUGGGCCUCAAUGACAGGAAAGUCUAAGGGUUAAUGCGCGAAAAGUCCCAGGACACAAAUCUACCCCGCGGUGGAUGGCGGGUUAAAUAACCAAGACUCCGAGGGCUCAUUUACAUUUAUUCCUGGCCGAAGGGGUAUCGGCCGCUCCCAUACGUCCGAUCAUCCGCGAACGAUCUACAUUAGAUUUCCUAUAGAGCGAACCGGUACGUCAUACGAGCCGUUAGAUGCCAGAUCCACGGCCCACACGAGCGCACACUCUUUUACCCCUUUCCCCUCGGAUCAUUAAUCAACGGUCUAGAUUGGCCGGAUCGAAACGUGACGCUCAAGCGAUCCCAACCGUUCACCAGGGAUGGACAGCGCACACAUCGUCUUCCUCCACUGGUUCCGUCGCUAUUUUCUCCCCAGCCAACCCUCCGCGACCGAGCGCCAUAGCCGCGUCAGCAUGCUGGUCAGUGCUCGCCAUCCGAGCCUGAAAUACAGUCCGAACGCCACUACUCAAAUCCUACACGGCCACGAUCAAUAGGUAGGAACACUCACCCAUGGUAAAGUUGUACACCAAGCAGACCUCGACUUCUGCUCAUCGAGGGACCCCACGUCUAGACCCCAAUCUGGACUGGCACACCCACUUCUCCUCCCACCGAUGACACCACAAGCUUCAAGGCCCGCCGCCGAUCCCGCAUGCCACUGCUGAGCCCCCAGCGCAGUCGUUUUACGAACGGUCGACGACGCAGAUCGGAGUUCACGCGCCACAGGGCGAUUCUCUCUCUCUCCUGAUUCCCUGAGUGCUCAGAGGUUUCGCAAUGUGCUUGGAUGGCUAGGGUGAGGCGGCAGCAACUUCUUAUAUACUGUCCGCAGGGAAAGCCUGCUCCAGCCGCGCAAGCCAGCGGAUCCCGAGCGAAUCGCCCAGAAAUUCGGAGUCCAUUGCGUGGUUAGUUGCUAGGGCUUUCGCCGGUAAAGAUUAACGUGCGAGUCCACUGUUAGACCAUGCCGCAAAGAAAGGAUGCCAGCACAACAGCUAGCGACCACCUAGGCGAGCCAAGCGUAGAGGAUAGGCUACGUGCAUGACCCCACGACGUCCGAUUUCCGCGCUCCGCAUUCAAGAAGAUGGUCUGCGCGCCGGGGCUCGGUUUUAUUCCCAAGGCUGUGCCAACCACUCGUCCCAGACCCACAGAGAUCCCCAACCGGAAUCCGACUGUUUCAGUUAGUGCGGCUCGAUUCAACAGCCGAGUUACGCGGAGCGCGGCCAGCAAGCUCGACAGGGGUUUGCUCAGAUCUAGUCGUAGGGAAGAAGGAACGACUGAUAGCAUGGUCCCAUUUGUCAGUGUCCGGGAGCGGAACAACGAGCCCAGGCUUCUGGCUGAUGCGCAUGCUGGUGAACGGGUCCGGCCCGUUAGUGAGGGUCGCAAAUGUUAGAGCACUGGCAACGUGGGUUCCUCUGUCAGUGACGAGAAAGCCAGCUUGGGCACGCACGGUGUGUGUCGGCCGAGGGGGCCCACUCGUCAGUGAUGCCAGGGCGUGCGGGUGAGUUACUUGGGCUGCGCGGUGGGGGAAAAGAUAGGGUUAGUUGGGCCGCAGGUUUAGGGUUUUGGCCCAAAGUCUGUUUUCCUUUUCUUUUUUUCUUUUCUAUUUCAAAUUCCAAAUAUUCAAAUCCACAUCCUAAUUCCUGUUUUGAAUUCAAAUCUCAAAUAUAAUCCAAAUGUGAGUAUAAAUCCUACUAUUAUUAUUAUUAUUAUUUAUCCUCCUUCCUAUUAUUUAAUUAUGGAAGCAAGAAAUGACUAUUACAAUUUUUGUUUUAUAUUUUCCUUUUAUCAUUUGAGUUCAAAUUAAAUCUUGAUUCCUUUAUUCCAACAAAAUGCAUCACAACAAAAUCAUCGACAUGAGGUGCACAUUUCUUUAUUCAUUUAUUUGUUAGUUGAAUAAUUUAAUACCCCUAAUUGAGUAUGCACAAAGAAAAGAAAGUCAAACAAUAGCCAGAACACUAACAUAUAGGUAUACUUAUUUAUUUAUCUUAUAUAUAUAUUUCUCUUAUACAAAUUUCAGGCUUUACAGUCAUGUAUAGACGCUGGAUCCUCGGUAUAAAUGGAAGGUGGUGUAGGAUUGUCACGGGGAUGUCGAGCUGACUCUUCUGUCCAUCACCAGAGUCUACCUCCAUGAACCUAGAUGAUUUACACUUUAGAUAGUACUUUGCCUUCGUGUUUUCUUUCCUAAAUAGCACAUAGCCCUUCGGACAAGCAUGUAUCUGCUCAUACGUCAUCUUAAAUGCACGAAGGAGUUUUUAUGCCUCGUACAUGCUCUUUGGCAGAACGUGAUCCUCUAGAAGCAGGCUGCCAAUAACUAUCAACAAGCCAUCGAAUGCGUCUUGACUCAUCCUGUACUGCGACUUGAACGCCAUUACACGCCCAAUGGCUUCCAGUUGAGAAACCUUUGUCUGGCCGUGAAGGGCUUCUGUGCCAUGUCAAACAUGUUGUAGAACGCCUUGCGGUUGGCUCUGCUCGUCCUCUGUCACACCCGGGUUCUAGGGGCGACCAAAACCCGGGCAUGCAAAAUAAUCACCAAGUGUGCUGGGACCAAGUCUCACACAUAUGAUGACUCAUGGUAUAGAAACAAAUGUCACAUCUUUACUAUAUAAUAGGAGUUCUGUAUAAAAUAACUAAAUAUUUAUAUAAUAUGCGGGCAACGAUCCAGCAACCAUAGUUGACUAGGAGACGACGACCUAGACCACUCACGAAGUCAUCACAGCAUCCUUCGUGCGCCUCCUUCUGUGGUACCUGUUUUUGGCCUGGGGGGAUGUGAGUACAGCAAGGGUGAGCUUACAUACAUUCAUCAUUCAACAAGUUGUGGGGAAUAAUGUGCAUGAACUCACCAAAGGUGGGAGCUCAUGUGAAGUGUAAGGCUUACCAAAGGAGAUGGUUGAAGCUGAGCAUUGCUUUUAGAGUUGGUCAAAAUUUUAUUAGCAGUUACUAAGUAUAAGUAGAUACCAACCCAAAUAAGUAAGAGAUUAAAAUUGAUAAUAACACCCGUGAUGCAAUGCAUAUGACAAAUUAAGUUUAGUUCCAUAGAUUAAUCAUGCGAGAGUAAUGAGCUGCUCAUGACCGCGAGCACGACUGAUAUACUAGUUUUACACUCUGUAGAGGUUGCGCCCUUACCCACAAGUCGUGUAUCCCGUCUAGCCAGGGUUAGCUAGACCCUUAGACACUUUCGAGGUGAAUGGCUAGAGAUCCACUACGAGGCCUUUACAAAGUUCCACUAGCUUUAGAAAACCCGAUACAAUUUCUAGGAAGGGCAAUAUAGGAAUCCCUCGUCCGAAAAGCCAUCACAGCAUGAUCGACCCGAGAACCUCCCUAUACACAACUCCCCUACUGCCCUGGCCCCUUUCGGGUAAGGUAGUCCUCCACUGGCUUUUAAGCUCCAUGUUCCAAUUAACACAAUGAUCUUGUCAUGAACAACAAUUAAAACAACAGUAUAAUUGGAACAUGAUCAUAAUGUAAUAUUAUUCCCAAAACCAGAUAGAGCAAUAUCAUAACUACCCAAAAGUUUAGUGGUAAACAAGGUGUGAGAUAAACAUUAUUAGGUAAAAAAGUGAUCAAGGGCUCAACUUGCUUGAGACUCGAGAUUCCAGGUACCAGGAUGAUCAUCAGAUGACUCGUGACCUCACUGCUAAUCAUAGCAAUACAAACAAACAUGGUAUAGGCAAAAUUAACAUCACAUCAAACAUAAGAACAAACUGUAUAAUAAUAAUCUACACGUCGUUAUGAGAUCGUAGGUUCGAGAAUCACUAAAUUUGUAGUUAAGAUUAUAGAGAUAUGAUUUUCGGAAGCCCUUUAUGGUUAAAUAAUAGCAACUAUAUUCUAUGUUGAUUAGCAUAAAUCAUAUGAGAAAAGAUAUUAAAUAAAUAAUUAAUUUAACUUUAAUCUAGGUUAUAAUCUUGAUUAGAGAUCUUGUUUUAGUCAAACUAUAAUUAUAGAUAGGUUGACUUGACUAGAUUGAUUAAUCAACUAACACAAGCUAAAUAAAUAUCCAAUUAUAAAAGUAUGUGGACUGAUAAAAAAAUAAUGUUUUUAAGGUGUAAACAAUUUUAUUACGAAGCUAAUGCAAUUUGAACAGAGCAAAAUAGAGUUAAGACGUGAGAGAUAUGCAAUAAAUAAGAUUUUAGGUUUGUUUUUAUAUUUAUUUUUAUGCCAAAACAACUAUCAAGGACAUGAACGUAAAUACCAGGGACUGGUUUGCAAAUUUCAAGGACUUAUUUGUUAUUCCUUCAGCUUUAACAUGGAUGGCGGGCUUAAUACAUAUAGCCUUGAGGGCUCAUAUGCGAAACUCACUGCCGAAGGGGUAACAUUGCGUCAUAGCCAUCAGAUCUAAACCUGAUGGCACAGAUUAAAAGGGAUGAAGGGUUACUCUGGGUUCUAAUAUGCACCGAACAUAAGCGAUCUAAUAGUCACAAUCUACAUUGCCCCACCCCCAAUCUUGGCCGCACAUCCGAGAUCCCACGGUUUGGUUACACACAAGCGACCGCUGACCACUGACCAUUGGAUUGUCAUCCAACGACCCAAGUUCGACCCCGAAGUGGUAUCAUCAACACCCGAUCACAGUCGCAUGAUGGCCAUCCAACGACCACUUCCUUUCCCCAGCUACACCCCUCCAAGUAGCCCGCGCGCGGCGGCGUUGCCUAGCCCAUGGUGAUGGAGUUCGCUGGAGAUGCACGAUCUCCCUCUCUGGUUCCCAAAACCUGGAUCUGAAGGGUGCUAAGCAGAGGGGGCAUUAAUGUGAAUAAGGUGGGGAGAAUUUUACCAUCGGUCGAAGUCACUAAGCUACGGGUCCACAGCACAGCACGGAGCAUCGCCAUUUUCUGAAAAUCAGUGAGGAAUUACGGCGGUGUCCGGCCGUCCACACGUCGGGCAAAUCUACGGCUAGUCUCCACGCACACAGGCGGUACACCUCCUUCACAACUCAAGGUCCGAAUGAUGGUGAUGCUGGUUCUGCAGCACGACGGCAUGCGCACUACUUUCUUUCUCUCCCCGAACUGCUCACUUUGCUCUAUGUAUUGGUGGCGAGGCGCUUGUGUUGAGGUGGUGACCUAGGAUAGCGAGAUGGGAGGAGGGGGUAGCUAAGAGCUCGCCUCAUAUAGCCUCAACUAACAACAACUAGACCCGAUGCUCACGCAGGUUUGUUAGGCGUUUGCCGGCCGUGGAGGAUCGUAACAACUGGGGAAGAUGGAUCUGGGUGAUGGGCCCCACAAGUCAGUCGGGUAAGGGAAUGGCUGGCAGCAAAACGGUAAUCGUGUACAGCUAGUCUCGCUGGCGCGAGGGGCCCAAGCGUUAGCGUAGUGUGUUCGAGGCGCACGCAGGCAGCCAGCCGACACAACGGACCCACCGGUCGGCGACACACCAGUAUCCAUGGGCCGCAGGCGCGAGAAAAACAAAUGAGCCAAGGGGAGGAAGCGAGAGUGGGCCAACCAGGAUAAUUCGGCCCAUGUAGCAGGUGGUUUUCCCUUUUUUUUAUUUUCCUAUUUACUUUCUAUUUUUUAAUUCCAAUUUGAAUCCCAACUCAAAUCAGGUCUUUGGAUUUCAAAAUUUAUUUAAAAUGAACAAACAAAGAAAUUUACCAGCAAGCAAUGCAAGGUUCAUUUUAUUCCUUUGAUUAAUAGUUUAAUUUCGAAUGCAUAGUUCACGCUUCCUAAAAUUCAAAUAACUUUUCUAUUUUUGAAACCACCUAAUCUCCCAUACAAUUUCUGAAAAGAAUAAUUCAUGUAAACUACUUCAUCCUAUAACUUAUGUUUAAAAUGAUUUAAACACAUAACUAAUAUUUUAUUUUCCCCCAUUUAUUUGGUUUUAGGAAAAUAGUUUCAAGGACAAACCAUCUUUAAUCCAAAUAUUUCAUAGAAAUUUUCUAAUCACCACAGCAAGAUUUUGAGGUGUUACAAAUCCUACCCCCCCUUAAAACUAAUCUCGUCCUCGAGAUUAAUUAGAAAAGGGAUAGAAAUAUUGGUUUGUGAUUUUAGCUUUUAAUUUCUAAUUGUUUUGAAACUGAAGAGUCUUUUUUUACAAUCAUUAGUGGGCGAUUGGGAGAGCAUAUGUAGAUCGAGGUAAGGAAGAUUAAGACACAGAAAGCUUCCAUCACGGAUGGUGGAUCUUGACUCAUCUAGUGAUCUAGCUUGGCUUUUGAAGACCUAAGUUGGUGCUCAUCCUUUCUUGACGAGGUCGAUCUAUUUCUUCUCUAGGCUUGGUGUCUCCAUCUGAGCUAGGGACAUAUGGCUAAGAAAGCUGUGAGUAGGAUAGACUACAUUAAGUAGGUCUAGCUCUGGUUUGAUGUUAAGUUGGAAUGGAUGGUUAUCAUAAACAUGUUGGUUAGUUUGUUUGUUCAUGGCCAAGUUGGUCUAAUGCACCAAUUUAGUUUAAAAUGGGUUUAUAGGAGUAAGGUCUAAUUUAUUUCACCACUAUUAACUUGUUAAGUGACUAACAUUCAAUUAGGUCGUAUUUAGAUUUGAUGGGUCUAGAUUAGAUUGGUAUGACUAGAUUAGACUAGAUAAGAUCUAAUUAAUUUCGGUUAGAUCAUAGUUGUUACACUAGGAUGGGAUUAUCAAAGUGGUUAGGACAAGACGAGAUAAGAUAGAUUCUUUUAAGGUGAGAUGAAUCUAUUAAGUUAGAUACAUUUUAAUGGGGAUAAUCUAGGUUGUCUAAUCACCUUAUAAAUUUUUUUAUGCCUACAUGUAUAUGCAGAUGCAAUUGUGGACAUUACUCCACAACCCAUCACACUCAAUCAAAGAAUCGAAUCAAGCAGUUAUCAUAAGGACAAACACUCAAGCAUAUAAAUAUUUAAAUAUUUACAAAAAUAGUUUUGAUUUGGUUCCUAGGAUUAGGUUUUCUAUUCCUAAAGGUCACUUUAGGUACAUGAUCUCAAAGUUUGAAAUCCACCUUUGUCUUUAGAAGUGAAAAGGUAAGAGUAAUUAGAGUAAAGCAACAAUAGUUAAGAAAAGAUUAAGAAAAGUUUAUAAAGAAUCAGAGUAAAGGUAAGUAGAUAAGGUUGUCCAGUUCUAUCUAGGUUACGUCCUACAGUCAACAUUCCUUCGAUACCACUUUUGUCACACUCGGGUUCUAGGGGCGACCAAGACUCGGGCGUGCAAAAUAAUCACCAAGUGUGCUGGGACCAAGUCUCACACAAAUGAUGACUCAUGGUAUACAAAUGAAUGUCACAUCUUUACUAUAUAAUAGGAGUUCUGUACAAAAUAGCUAAAUAAUUACAUCAUAUGCAGGCAACGAUCCAGCAAUCAUAGUUGACUGGGAGACGAUGGCCUAGACCACUCACGAACUUAUCACAGUAUCCUUCAUGUGCCUCCUCUUGCGGUACCUGUUCUUGACCUAGGGGCAUGUGAGUACAGCAAGGGUGAGCUCACAUACGUUCAUCGCUCAACAAGUUGUGGGGAAUAAUGUGCAUAAACUCACCAAAGGUGGGAGCUGAUGUGAAGUGUAGGGCUUACCAAAGGAGUUGGUCAAAAUUUUAUUAGCAGUUACUAAGUAUAAGUAGAUACCAACCCAAAUAAGUAAGAGAUCAAAAUUGAUAAUAACACCCGCGAUUCAAUGCAUAUAACAAAUUAAGUUUAGUUCCAUAGAUUAAUCAUGAGAGAGUCCUGAGCUGCUCAUGACCACGAGCAUGGCUUAUAUACCGGUUUUACACUCUGCAGAGGUUGCGCCCUUUACCCACAAGUCGUGUAUCCCAUCUAGCCAGGGUUAGCUAGACCCUUAGACACUUCCGAGGUGAAUGUCUAGGGAUCCACUAUGAGGCCUUUACAAAGUUCCACUAGCUUCAGAAAACCUGCUAUAGUUUCUAGGAAGGGCAAUAUAGGAAUCCCUCGUCCAAAAAGCCAUCGCAGCAUGAUUGACACGAGGAACUCCCUAUAUGCAACUCCCCUACUGCCCUUGCCCCUUUCGGGUAAUGUAGUCCUCCACUAGCUUUCCUAAUUAGUUAGCCAAGGGCGUCCCAUUCCACCCUUAUGGUAGCACGGAUAUCUCAAGUUAAGCUGCAUGUUCCAAUUAACACAAUGAUCUUGUCAUGAACAAUAAUUAAAACAACAGUAUAAUUGGAAUAUGAUCAUAAUGUAAUAUUAAUCCCAAAACCAGAUAGAACAAUAGCAUAACUACCCAAAAGUUCAGUGGUAAACAAGGUGUGAGAUAAACAAGUCUAGGGAAACCUAUUAGGUCCCAUCAGAUUAACAUGAGCAUAUCAUAGUGAUUAACAGUAACAUUAUUAGGUAAAGAAAAGUGAUGAAGGGCACAACUUGCCUAAGACUCGAGAUUCCAGGUACCAGGAUGAUCUUCAGAUGACUCGUGACCUCACUGCUAAUCGUAGCAAUACAAACAAACAUGGUAUAGGCAAAAUUAACAUCGCACCAAACAUAAGAACAAACUGCAUAAUAACAAUCUACGUGUCGUAACGAGAUCGUAGGUUCGAGAAUAACUAAAUUCGGAGUUACAGUUAAAGAGAUACGAUUUUCGGAAGCUAGCAACUUUAUUCUAUGUUGAUUAGCGUAAAUCAUAUGAGAAAAGAUAUUAAAUAAAUAAUUAAUUCAACUUUAAUCUAGGUUAUAAUCUUGAUUAGAGAUCUUAUUUUAGUCAAACUAUAAUUAUAGAUAGGUUGACUUGAUUAGAUUGAUUAAUAAACUAACACAAGCUAAAUUAAUAUCCAAUUAUAAAAAUAUGCGGACUGAUAAAAAUAAUGUUUUUAAGAUGUAAAAAAUUUUAUUAGGAAACUAUUGCAAUUUGAACGGAGCAAAACGGAGUUAAGACGUGAGAGAUAUGCAAUAAAUAAGAUUUUGGGUUUGUUUUUAUAUUUAUUUUAUGCCAAAAUAGCUAUCAAGGGUAUGAACGUAAAUACCAGGGACUGGUUUGCAAAUUCUGAGGACUUAUUUGUUAUUCCUUCAGCUUUAACAUGGAUGGCGGGUUUAAUACAUAAAACCCUACGAGCUCAUAUGCGAAACUCACUGGCUGAAAGGGUAACAUUGCGUGUCAGCCAUCAGAUCUAAACCUGACGGCACAAAUUAAAAGGGAUGAAGGGUUACUCUGGGUUCUAAUCCGCACCGCACAUAAGCAAUCUAAUAGUCACGAUCUACAUUGCCCCACCCCCAAUCUUGGCCGCACCUCCGAGAUCCCAUGGUUUGGUUACACACAAGCAACCACUGACCACUGACCAUUGGAUUGUCAUCCAACGACCCAAGUUCGACGCCGAAGCGGUAUCAUCAACACCCGAUCGCAGCCGUAUGAUGGCCAUCCAAUGGCCACUAUUCCUUUCCCAGCUACACCCCUCCAAGCAGCCCGCGCGCGGCGACGCCGCCCAGCCCAUGGUGAUGGAGUUCGUCGGAGAUGCACGAUCUCCCUCUCUGGUUUCCAAAACCUGGAUCUAAAGGGUGCUACGCAGUGGGGGCGUUAAUGCAAACAAGGUGGGGAGAAUUUUACCAUCGGUCGAAGUCACUAAGCUGCGGGUCCACGACACACCAUGGAGCACCGCCAUUUUCUAAAAAUCAGUGAGGAAUUGCGACGGUGUCUGGCCGUCCACACGCCGGGAAAAUCUAUGGCUAGUCUCCACACACAUAGGCGGUACUCCUCCUUCACAACCCGAGGUCCGAAUGACGAUGAUGCUGGUUCUAUGGCGCGACGGCAUGCGCACCCCUUUCUUUCUCUCCCCGAGUUGCUCACUUUUCUCUAUGUAUUGUUUGUGAUGUGCUUGCGUUGCGGCGGUGACCUAGUCAAGCGAGAUGGGAGGAAGGUGGGGGGUAGCCGAGAGCUCACCUCAUAUAGCCUCAGCUGACAACAACUGCACCCGAUGCUCACGCAGGUUUGUUAGGCGUUUGUCGACCGCGGAGGAUCAUAACAACCAAGGAAGAUGGAUCUGGGUGAUGUGCCCCACAAGUCAGUUGCGUAAGGGAAUGGCUGGCAGCGAAACGACAACCGCGCACAGCUAGUCUCACUAGCACGAGGGGCCCAGGCGUCAGCACAGUGUGUUCGAGGCGCACGCAGGCGGCCAUCCGACACAGCGGACCCACCGUCAGUGACACACCAUUAUCCAUGAGCCGUAGGCACGAGAAAAACAAAUGUGCUGCGGGGAGGAAGCGAGAGUGGGUCAACCAGGACAAUUUGGCCCAUAUGGCAGGUGGGCUUCCCUUUUUAUUUUCCUAUUUCCUUUCUAUUUUUUAAUUCCAAUUUGUGUCCCAAUUCAAAUCAGGUCUUUGGAUUUCAAAAUUUAUUUAAAAUGAACAAACAAAGAAAUUUACCAGCAUGCAAUGCAAGGUUCAUUUUAUUCCUUUGAUUAAUAGUUUAAUUUCGAAUGCAUAGUUCACGCUUCCUAAAAUUCAAAUAACUUUUCUAUUUUUGAAACCACCUAAUCUCCCAUACAAUUUCUGAGAAGAAUAAUUCAUGUAAACUACUUCAUCUUAUAACUUAUGUUUAAAAUGAUUUAAACACAUAACUAAUAUUUUAUUUUCCCCCAUGUAUUUGGUUUUAGGAAAAUACUUUCAAGGACAAACCCUCUUUAAUCCAAAUAUUUCAUAGAAAUUUUCUAAUCACCACACUAAGAUUUUGAGGUGUUACAUCCUCCGUACAUCCUCCAGCGAAAUAUACCUCGGGAUAGUCGUUCAACAUAUCCACUACCCCCGCAUCAGUAUCAUAAUCCUCGACGCGUUGUCUCACCACAUCCUCUCUCAUAUGAUGCGCUUCACCACGGAAGAUCCACCGAGUAUAGUCCGGCGUAAAUCCAUUAUUCCAAAUAUGUUCUACCAUGACUUUCUUUGAUUUUUUUCUAGUUGGCACAUUAGCUGCAUGGGCAUGGGACUAGACUCGCUCCUUUAGCAGCUUCGCCAUAUGCCCAUUCAACGAAAUCAUUGGUCUUUCUAAUCCAUUCAGGGGUGACAUCAUUCCUUCCUACAUGGCCCGUGUACAUCCACUCACGGUCCUCCAUCCUCUAACAUAUAUAACUGAGUAUAGUUUAAUAUAACAUGUAAGGCCUCUGCAAAAAAAUAACUCAAGCCUAUCAACAAAAAAAUUCGGCAGCACCUCUUCUGCACGGGGAGGUUUCCAAAACCUGCAAAUAAAACUAGCAGCACGAUGGCUGACAUCCACACAUAUAUCUAUGGCACGAUAGACGACAAUCACAUCAAUCAGCGUCCAUAUCCAACAUCACAUUAUAUAGAAUUGACACACAUAGUAUAAACUCACUAAACACCCAUACUAAAGUAAUUAAACUUAGUAAACUCACUAAAUUCACUAAACACACAUAAUAAACUCACUAAACCCACUAAAUUCACUCAGUGGCGGAUCUAGGAAUUUAUCUCUGGGUAUGCCGAACCAAUAAUUUGGUGGUACCAUAUAGAAAUAAUAAAAUUUGCCUAACUAAAUAGUUACAAAUAUAUAUAAUUGGUCCCAAUAUAAUAUUUUUAUAAUCAUGAUAAUAUAUUAAUUUAGUUCAAUAUAUGCAUAAAUUUCACUUACUCAUGGGAGUAUGUACUAGAAGAUUACUUGUUUUUCUUUGGCCUGCGGUUUCUGAUGGUAAAAAAGUCUUGAUUACAUCUUCUUCAUCCAGUUGAAAGAAAACAUCUCGCUCAAUAUAUGUGAGUAGACAGUCAUCCAAAAGGCUAUCACCCAUCUUAUUUCUCAACUUACUUUUGAUGAAUGUCAUCGCAGAAAAUGCCCUCUCAACACCUACUGUUGCCACAGGUAGAAGUAAUACUAAUUUGAGAAGCGUGAAUACUAAGUCAUAAACUUUAUGCCUCUUCGUUUGAACAAGCUUCAAUGAGAGAUCAACAAGAUUUUCUAGGCCUUCAAAUAAAACAUCUUUUUUAUGUCAGCAAUAAAGUUACCCAACUGCAAUUCAAGCUUUAGUAAAUCGGUACCAAAUAUGUCCUUUGGAUAAAAAUAAGCAACUCUGCAUAACUUCUGUGCAUCAAAAGAAGCAAAUGAGUCUUUAGGACUGAAUGCCAAAAUACAAGAAAGUAACUCCAUAUUAACUUCAUCAAAGCGACUGUCAAGUUCUUGACUAAUUUGAUCAAUAACCCCAAUAUAUACUUCUCUUCUGAAGUGAUCAUCAUUUGUUUGGUUUUUGGCAAACCGAGCUGAUCUUCCAUAAGGCACAUAAUUAUUCUCCAUGAUAGGAACAUGGACAUCAUGUUUGUUGCAAAAUAAAGUGACCUUUUCAAGGAAUUGACUCCAUCCACUAGACCUUAAUUCUUGCAUUCUAUCCUUUGGCACUCUAAUAAGUGAGAUUGCAUUUAUAAUAUCUUGCUCCCUUCUUUGCAAGCACUCUGAUAAUUCAUUAGUGUAUCCCAAAAUGAUAAACAUCAAGUGUGCACUAAAAAUAUAAUCAAAUGACUCCAAUACUCCAACCAUAGUAUGUAUUUUUGGCCAAUCACUCUUUUGUGAAGUAUCAUUACCAAGAGAGAUGAGUACAUCACGUAUUGUGGGAUACAUACCAAUAAUGUUGACAACAGUUUUGUAGUGAGAUCCCCAACGAGUCUCGCCUGGCCUAGGCAAUCCCAUCUCUUGAUUUAAUCCACUUCCAGUUUGAAGUUCACCACAAUAAAUUGCUUUCAUGACAUUAUCAAGUCUUGCAUCUCGAAUCAUGCCAUGACGUUUACAAGAAACACCAACAAUAUUCAGCAAAAGAGACAUUUGGUCAAAAAACCAAACACAGUCACUAUUCCCCUUGGCAACAACAACAAGAACUAAUUGAAGUUGAUGAGCAAAACAAAGAAUAUAAUAAGCAGAUGGUGACUCUUGCAUGAUCAAUGUUUUGAGCCCUUUAACCUCUCCCUUCAUGUUGCUAGCACCAUCGUAACCUUGCCCAUGAAUUAUUCACUAAACACACAUAAUAUAAUAUGAAAAUCACUAAACUCACAUAGUACAAUAUGAAACUCACUGAAUCUGGGACGGGGUCGGUGUUGAAGAUGGGGUGGCGGCGGGCGAGAGUGUGGGCAGCGGCGGGCGAGGGCGUGACCAGCGGUGGGCGGAAGUGGUGGUGGCGGGCGAGGCCGGCGGUGGGCGGGCUGCCGUGGUGGGGCGGCGUGGCCGAAGGAAGGCACGGCGGUGCGGCGGCGCGGAUGAGGGAAGGGAGGGUAAGAGUGAAUGUGGGCGAGAGAGAAUGGGGGCCAACAAAGUAAAAGUUCUUUACCGAGUGCCCGUGAUCUGGAACUUGGCAAAGAUUUUUUUAAAAUUUUAAAAUAUACUUUACCGAGUGCCCGCGGUCUGGCACUCGACAAAGCCUUCUUUGCCGAGUGUCCUACGGCUGACAUUCGGCAAAGAUUACUUUAUUUUUUUAAAAUAAAGUUUACCGAACGCCCUGUCGGCGUUCCAAGACCGGGGGGUCCCUGGGCCGACGAGUGAAUGUCGCCGCGUGCCCCAGCCCAGAUGGGUCGAGCGCGAGGGCGAGCGCAAAGGGGGGAGAGCGAGGCGGCCGGAGAUCGGCGUGAGAGAGGUGGGAAUCCCGCGGCCUUCGUGUUCGUCCCGCGCCCAGGUCGGGUGCGCUUGCAGUAGGGGGUUACAAGCGUCCACGCGGGAGAGGGAGCGAGCGGCUCCAGGCGAGCGCCUGUUCUCGUCCUCGUCCCCGCGCGGCCAACCUUCUCUAAGAGGGCCCUGGUCCUCCCUUUUAUAGAGUAAGCAGAGGAUCUAGGUGUACAAUGGGGGGUGUAGCAGGGUGCUACGUGUCUAGCGGAGGUGAGCUAGCGCCCUAGGUACAUGCCGUUGUGGCAGCCGGAGAGAUCUUGGCACCCAGCUGGUGUGAUGUCGUGGCCGUCGAAGGAGCGAUGGAGCUUGGCGGAGGGACAGCUGUCGGAGCGGUUGAGCCCUUGCUGACGUCCUCUUGCUUCCGUAAGGGGGCGGAGAGCCGCCGUCGUCACAGAGCAUGCGGGGCGCCAUCAUUGCCUAUCUGGCGGCGCAAGCCAGAUGGGACGCCGGUCUUGUUCCCUGCGGCCCGAGUCAGCUCGGGGUAGGGUGAUGAUGGCGCCUCCUGUCGACGUGGCUGGUCUACGCCCUAGGUUGGGCGAUGUGGAAGCUCCUCCGAAGCCGAGGUUGAGUCCGAGCCCCCGGGUCGGGCGAGGCGGAGAUCGUCGUCUUCUGGGGCCGAGCCCAAGUCCGAGCCCUGGGUCGAGCGAGGCGGAGAUCGUCGUCUUCUGGGACUUAGCCCGAGUCCGAGCCCUGGGUCGGGCAGAGCGGAGUUCGCCGUCUUCCGGGACUUAGCCCGAGUCCGAGCCCUGGGUCGGGCGGAGUUCACCGUCUUCCGGGACUUAGCCCGAGUCCGAGCCCUGGGUCGGGCGGAGCGGAGUUCGCCGUCUUCCAGGACUUAGCCCGAGUCCGAGCCCUGGGUCGGGCGGAGUUCGCCGUCUUCCGGGACUUAGCCCGAGUCUGAGCCCUGGGUCGGGCGGAGCGGAGUUCGCCGUCUUCCGGGACUUGGCCCGAGUCCGAGCCCUGGGUCGGACGGAGUUCGCCGUCUUCCGGGACUUAGCCCGAGUCCGAGCCCUGGGUCGGGCGGAGUUCGCCGUCUUCCGGGACUUAGCCCGAGUCCGAGCCCUGGGUCGGGCGGAGCGGAGUUCGCCGUCUUCCGGGACUUAGCCCGAGUCCGAGCCCUGGGUCGGGCGAAGCGGAGCUUCCUAUGGUGCCUCUGGCAGGGCCUGACCGCUUGCCAGUCUUACUCUGUCCAGUGGCAGUGUAGUCGGUGUGGCGUAGGCGGCGCUGUCCUUUCGUCAGGCCGGUCAGUGGAGCGGCGAAGUGACGGCGGUCACUUCGGCUCUGCCGACGGGGGUGCGUGCCAGGAUAAGGGUGUCAGGCCACCUUUGCAUUAAAUGCUCCUGCGACUUGGUCGGUCGGUGCGGCGAUUUGGUCAGGGUUGCUUCUUAGCGAAGGCAGGGCCUCGGGCGAGCCGGGAAUAUGUUCGCCGCUAAAAGGGGGGCCUCGGGCGAGACGGAAAUCCUCCGGGGUCGGUUGCCCUUGUCUGAGGCUAGGCUCGUGUGAGGCGUGAUCGUGUCCCUCGAAUGGACUGAUCCCUGACUUAAUCGCACCCAUCAGGCCUUUGCAGCUUCAUGCUGAUGGGGGUUACCAGCUGAGAAUUAGGAGCCUUGAGGGUACCCCUAAUUAUGGUCCCCGACAGUAGCCCCCGAGCCUCGAAGGGAGUGUUUGCACUCGCUUGGAGGCUUUCGUCGCACCUUUUUGCAAGGGGACCAACCUUUCUCGGUUGCGUUUUGUUCCGGUGGGUGCGCGCGAGCGCACCCGCCGGGUGUAGCCCCCGAGGCCUCGGAGGAGUGGUUUCACUCCUUCGAGGUCUUACUGCCUCACGUAGUGCUUCGGCUGGUCUGGUCGUUCCCUCAUGCGAACUGGCCGUAGCCCAGGUGUACGGUCGGGUCCCAAGUUCUCGGGCUGGUAUGUUGACGCUGUCAACGGUUCGGCCGGAGUCGGGUUUGCGAUAGCAGCCCCCGAGCCUCUGCACAGAGCGAGAGGGCGGUCAGGGGUAGACUCGGCUUUUUUACAUACGCUCCUGCAUCGCCUUUCCGCAAGGAGGAGGGGGGGAAAGCGCCAUGUUGCCCUCGAUGGGCGUCGAACAUGGUGUCUCCGACGAGCUGCAAGCGGGUAAUCCGAGUGGACGUCCGUGCCCCGUUCGGUAGGGGUCGGCUAGGGGCCCAGAGGCACGCCCAAAAGUACCUGCGGGUGAUCUGCCAGACUCGGUCCCCUGGCGACGGGGUCCGAGGGCUCGAUGCCUCCCUCUGGUGGGAUUCUGUUACAAGAUUGUUCCCGCCGGUCUCGGAAAUGUCCUAGGGUACCUCGGGAGCGCAGCCCGAGCCUUGAUUGUGUAUCGAACGUACCCAUGGUCAUCCCUCGCUCGGCGUCUGAGGUGGCUGUGAACCCUUCGGGGGCCAGCCUUCGAACCCCUGAUUAGUAUUGGGCACGGAGCCCGAGUAGCCUGAGGCGGUCGUUGAACCCUUUCGAGGGGCCGGCCUUCGAACCUCUGACCAGUAGUGGGUGUUGGGCCCACGCGAUCUGAGGCGGCUGUUGAACCCUUCUGGGGGGCCAGCCUUCGAACCUCUGAUCAGUAGGGGGGCUCGGAGCCUGGUUCCUUCUCGGGGAAGGAUCCUUUUCGGGGUAUCCCCCUUUCUCGGUCCCUGUUGCAAGAGAGAGAAAGAGGAAAAACGGAAAAGGAUACGAAAUCGAACGACGCGGCGUACCUUUUUGGACGCGUUCAUUUUGGCGAAGGGGAAGCGUCGCCCGCUUCUCCUGCCAGAGGCGCCGCGUGUCCCGUCGCGGAGUUACUGUGACGGGGCGAGUGGUUGGAGAGGCGACCGUUGCGCAUGCGCGAGCCGUUCGAGGAACGGAUCACGGGCGCGUCGUCUUCACGCCGUGGGAGAGGGUUCUCUCGCUGCCCCCGGAUGGGACGUAAGCUUGGCUGACGACGCGGCCGCUGCGCCUGCUCGCCUGCCACCGCCAUUACUGCCGGCCCACUUCUGGCCAUGUUGACCAUCGCGCCAGGCUGGUGCUGCUGGGUCGCGCGCCGGGUCGCCUCGAGUCGCGGUAUUGGUUCCGCAGUCGAGGAGGUGCGGUGGUGGUGCGGGUGGCGAUGCAGUUACUCACACGUAGCAAACGGCGCACCGGUUGCACGACGCGUGGGCCUGGGCCUCUAUGCUGGGCAUGUUGGGAGUCGGAGGAGCGCGCCCACUUGGCGCGGUUGCAUGCCGCCUGCAUGGCUGCCCACCCUUUCACCCGUUGGUCUGGGCAAAAGUGGAGGGUCGCUUGUAACCGUUGGGCGGUUGUGUGCACCGCGCGUGGCGGUUUGGCUUCUUCUGCCCUGAGUUGGCUUGCAUGACGUGUGGGACCCAGCCCCCGCGCCGUAGGGGAGGACCUUGGAGUGUGUUGGAGAAGACUCAGCCCGUGACGGCUGGGGGCGCGAGUAGGGAGAACCGUCCUUAAAAAGAGGGUGACCCCUUUGGAAGGCGACCAUGUCUUCGCGCUCCCUUAUGCAUCGUGUCUUUCCACCUUCCAGGCCCCCGGAUGGGGGAGAUCCGCCGUCUUUCCGCCUCGUCGUUGGGGGAACGCAACUCCGCGGGAGUUGGUACCUUUCAGCUAUCGUUUGGCUUCAAGGAUUUUCAUCAUGCAGCCCGGCUGCACCCCUCCACCGGUGGUCACCCAAGACGGUGACCACCAGCCCCUGGAUGGAGAGGAGCAAGCUAGGUUGUGGUCUUUGUCCCGCCCCCAGCUGGUCUUCAUCAUCCCCGCUGGGACGGGGCCCGGGCCAAGCCGGUGCUCUGCCUCCUGCGCGGGUCGGCCGACCGCCUCCUCUUCCAGCUUCUGGUGGUGGAGACCAUCCUCCAGUUCUGUGGAGGAGACGUCCUCCAGUCAUGCUGGGGGAGGCGGGCUGUUGUUGCCCAGCUAGGAUGCAACAUUCCAUCCUCUUCCUCGCUUGCGUGGCGAGGACAGGAGUGAGGACCUGCCGAUGCGCCUUGGGGUGACCCGCGUUUGCUGGUGAUUCGCCCAGAGCUUGUCGCUCCACGGGCUUCCCCGUCGUGGGGGUUGUCCAUACCCGCGGGGACGGAACCGGAGUUCCGUUUGUAAUGGCGCCUUGAGUGCUAGUGUUUUUGUUCAUUGUGGCUGUCGGGGCCUGAACAUGUAUGUAGUUUCGGCACGGAGCCGUGUAUUUUCCUCCUUUUCGAGCACUGAAACUCGCCUAUUGGUUGUCUGAACCGCUUCACCAAGCGUGAGUUGCCCCGUGUACAGGUGACGAGUGAGGUAUCCGUAUCCCGGAGGCGUAGGAGUUCCUCGGCUCGGUCGGCCUUGUUGUCCGAGGCUUCUCUAACUUAGUUAAAGGAACCCCUCGGCCGCUCUUCGAUGAGCCGAGGCCGGGGGUAGCGGUGUCAACAUGGGCAGAGGCAGAGUUGUCUUGAAAAGGAAACCUGGUUGGCCGGAGCCUGGCCGGGUCGUCCGUUAGCGGGACCGACGCCGGAAUUGACCAGCCGAGGCCUCGGGUCGGGCUGACGUCCUCGGAGGGAAGCUGGCCGAGGCCCCAGGGUGACCGACCGAGCCGCCUGCUCGGGACGGAUUGACGUCCUUGGAAGGUAACUGGCCGAAGCCCCGGGGCGACCGGCCGAGCCGCCUGCUCAGGCCGGAUUCCCGGAGAAGACCCUAGCGGCGAUGGCCCGGGCGUGGUGAUGACGUCGUCCUCCAGAGUGGAGAUCCUCGGACCGCGUCACCGUCCGAGGCUAGGUCGGCCCUCGCCGAAGGUGUCGUCGAUGCCAAGGGUGCUGCUGCUCCCUUCAGCCGUCAAGAUCCGAGCCUGCAGGAUCGGAUUGUCUUGUAGCGUGUGUUUCCUGCGGCCGCCGAGGCCUGAACACACCCUCGCCGUGUUGUAAAGCUGCGUCUCUUUUCCUUUUAUUUCGAGUAUCUGGACUUUUUUGUUGGUAACAGAAAUGUUUGUGCGAGCAAGAGUUGCUUCUCGCGGAAGGUGACAAGUGAGGUAUCUGUAUCCCGGAGGCGUAGGAGUCCCUCGGCUCGGUCGGCCUUGCCGCUUACGUGCACUCUUACCCGUCCAUGGGGCUCUGUCACCGACGCAGUCGAGAAGGCUCGGAGGAUCGCUUCGGCAUAAGAGCUUUCGGGCGUGAAGACUUGUUCGGUCUGCAGAAUCACUUAUCCGAACGUGAGUUACUUAUCGCAGAAGGUGAUGAGUGAGGUAUCCGUAUCCCGGAGGCGUAGGAGUCCCUCGGCUCGGUCAGCCUUGGCUGCUUACGUGUACUCCGUCGUUUUCAGGAUCCACUUUCGAAGUAGCCAAAAAGCGCGAAAGACAUUCUGGCAGAAAAGAUCUUUUUCCGAGGAAAAUUUCGACGCAGAGGGGGUUCCCCCCCCCUUUUAGCCCCCGAGGGAGGGUCGGGCUUUGCCGAGGCGAAGCCGACCCUUCCUUGAUGACUAAACUUUGCGUGGGUGCGAGGUAUAUGAUCAACUUGAAAAAAUCUUAAGGGUAGAAGCGACGUAGCUGUUGGAUGUUCCAGGCGUUGUCGUAGACCUCGCCUUGGCUGUUGGCCAGCUUGUAUGUUCCGGGCUUCAGAACCUUGGCGAUGACGAAUGGCCCCUCCUAGGGAGGCGCGAGCUUGUGCUGCCCUCGGGCGUCUUGUCGCAGCCGAAGCACCAGGUCGCCCACCUGGAGGUCUCGGGACCGGACCCCUCGGGCGUGGUAGCGUCGCAGGGACUGCUGGUACCGCGCCGAGUGUAGCAAGGCCUGGUCCCGAGCCUCCUCCAGCUGGUUCAGCGAGUUUUCUCGGCUGACUUAGUUGCUUUGGUCGGUGUAGGCCCUCGUCUUCGGGGAGCCGUAUUCUAAGUCUGUGGGCAAGAUGGCUUCGGCCCCAUAGACUAGAAAGAAUGGCGUGAAGCCCGUGGCUCGGCUCGGCGUUGUCCUCAGACUCCAGACCACCGAGGGGAGUUCCUUCAUCCAUCGCUUGCCAAACUUGUUGAGGUCGUUGUAGAUCCAAGGCUUGAGCCCUUGUAGAAUCAUGUCGUUGGCACGCUCCACCUGCCCAUUCGUCAUGGGAUGAGCCACGGCGGCCCAGUCCACCCGGAUGUGGUGAUCCUCGCAGAAGUCCAGGAACUUUCUGCCGGUGAACUGGGUGCCGUUGUCGGUAAUGAUGGAGUUCGGGACCCCGAAGCGAUGGAUGAUGUUGGUGAAGAACGCCACCGCCUGCUCGGACCUGAUGCUGUUCAGGGGUCGAACCUCGAUCCACUUGGAGAAUUUGUCGAUGGCGACCAGCAGGUGCGUGUAGCCCCCGGGUGCCUUCUGCAAGGGGCCGACGAGGUCCAGACCCCACACCGCAAAAGGCCAGGUGAUGGGUAUUGUCUGCAGAGCCUGAGCGGGCAGAUGGGUCUGCCUCGCGUAGAAUUGGCACCCUUCGCAGGUGCGGACGAUUCUGGUAGCGUCGGCCACCACCGUCGGCCAGUAGAAGCCUUGCCGGAAAGCGUUCCCGACAAGGGCUCGAGGCGCUGCAUGAUGGCCGCAAGCCCCCGAGUGUAUCUCUCGCAGGAGUUCCUGACCUUCGGCGAUGGAGAUGCAUCGCUGGAGGAUGCCUGAGGGGCUGCGGUGGUAGAGCUCCUUCUCAUCUCCCAGCAAGACGAACAACUUGGCGCGCCGCGCCACCCGCCGAGCCUCGGCUCGGUCGAGGGACAGCUCUCCUCGGUGGAGAUAUUGCAGGUACGGGGUCUGCCAAUUUUGAUUAGGCGCGACCCCGCUUUUCUCCUCCUCGACGUGCAGUGCCUCACCCUCGGGGGCCGAGGGUACCUCGGACUGAACCGAGGGCGCCUCGGGUCGAGCUGAGGGUGCCUCGGACUGAGCCGAGGGCACCUCGGGUUGAGUCGUGGGCGCCUCGGACUGGGCCGAGGGUACCUCGGGCUCGGACGUGUCGUCGAUCUUGACGGAAGGUUGAUGCAGGUCUCGGGAGAAGAUGUCCGGGGGAACCGUUGUUCGCCCCAAGGCUAUUUUAGCCAGCUCGUCCGCAGUCUCGUUGUAGCGCCGAGCGAUGUGGUUGAGCUCGAGCCCGUAGAACUUGUCUUCCAGGCGCCGAACCUCAUCGCAGUAGGCCUCCAUCUUCAGGUCGCGGCAAUGGGAGUUCUUCAUGACUUGGUCGAUGACGAGCCACGAGUCACCACGAGCAUCGAGGCGUCGGACCCCUAGCUCGAUGGCGAUCCGCAACCCAUUGACCAGGGCCUCAUAUUCGGCCACAUUGUUGGACGCCGGGAAGUGGAGGUGUAGCACGUAGCGUAGAUGCUUUCCGAGGGGUGAGAUGAAGAGUAGGCCUGCGCCGGCUCCUGUCUUCAUCAGCGACCCGUCGAAGAACAUGGUCUAGAGCUCCGGUUGGAUCGGAGCCGUCGGUAGCUGGGUGUCGACCCAUUCAGCCACGAAGUCCGCCAAGACCUGGGACUUAAUGGCUUUCCGAGGAGCGAACGAGAUUGUCUCGCCCAUGAUCUCCACCGCCCACUUUGCAAUCCUACCCGAGGCCUCUCGGCAUUGGAUGAUCUCCCCCAGGGGGAAGGAUGACACCACAGUUACUGGAUGAGACUCGAAGUAGUGUCGCAGCUUCUGUCGCGUUAGGAUCACCGCGUACAGCAGCUUCUGGACUUGUGGGUAGCGGAUCUUGGUUUCGGACAGUACCUCGCUGACGAAGUAGACUAGCCUCUGAACGGGCAGUGCAUGCCCCUCUUCUUGCCUCUCGACCACAAUCGCGGCGCUAACCACCUGGGUGGUCGCAGCGACGUAGACCAGGAGGGCUUCUCCGGCAGCUGGGGGCACCAAGAUAGGCGCCUUUGUGAGGAGCGCCUUCAGGUUCCCGAGGGCUUCCUCGGCCUCAGGGGUCCAAGUGAAGCACUCGUCUUUCCUUAAGAGGCGGUACAGCGGUAGACCUCUUUCGCCGAGGCGUGAGAUGAAACGGCUCAGAGCCGCGAGGCAUCCCAUGACCCUCUGUACGCCUUUCAAGUCCUUGAUGGGCCCCAUGCUGGUAAUGGCUGCGAUUUUUUCCGGGUUGGCUUCGAUGCCCCGCUCGGAGACGAUGAACCCCAACAGCAUGCCUCGGGGCACCCCGAAGACACACUUUUCGGGAUUGAGCUUGACGCCUUUGGCCUUGAGACAUCGGAAUGUCGUUUCAAGGUCGGAAAGGAGGUCAGAGGUUUUCCUCGUCUUGACUACGAUGUCAUCGACGUAGGCCUCGACCGUGCGGCCAAUGUGUUCGCCGAACACAUGGUUCAUGCACCGCUGGUACGUCGCGCCCGCAUUCCUCAAACCGAACGGCAUGGUGACAUAGCAGUACAUGUCGAAGGGUGUGAUGAAAGAAGUCGCGAGCUGAUCGGACUCUUUCAUCUUGAUUUGAUGAUACCCCAAGUAGGCAUCGAGGAAAGACAGGGUUUCGCACCCAGCAGUGGAAUCCACGAUCUGGUCGAUGCGAGGCAGAGGGUAGGGAACCUUCGGACAUGCUUUGUUGAGACCAAUGUAGUCUACACACAUCCGCCAUUUCCCCCCUUUCUCUCUCACAAGCACAGGGUUGGCAAGCCAUUCGGGAUGGAAUACCUCUUUGAUGAACCCUACCGCCAUUAGCUUGUGAAUCUCCUCGCCUAUAGCUCUGCGCUUCUCCUCGUCGAAUCGACGCAGCGGCUGCUUGACGGGUCGGGCUCCGGCUCGGAUGUCCAGCGAGUGCUCGGCGACAUCCCUCGGUACGCCGGGCAUGUCUGAGGGACUCCACGCGAAGACGUCGGCGUUCGCGCGGAGAAAGUCGACGAGCACUGCUUCCUAUUUGGGAUCGAACCCGGAGCCGAUCCGGAUCUGCUUGGAGGUGUCGCCGCUGGGGUCGAGGGGGACGGACUUAACCGUCUCCGCUGGCUCGAAGUUGCCAGCGUGACGCUUCACGUCCGGCACCUCCUUAGAGAGGCUCUCCAGGUCGGCGAUGAGGGCCUCGGACUCGGCGAGGGCCUCGGCGUACACCACGCACUCCACGUCGCAUUCGAACGCGUGUUUGUACGUAGGGCCGACGGUGAUGACCCUGUUGGGGCCCGGCAUCUUGAGCUUCAGGUAGGUGUAGUUGGGGACGGCCAUGAACUUCGCGUAGCAUGGCCUCCCCAGUACCGCGUGGUAGGUUCCUCGGAACUCGACCACCUCGAACGUCAGGGUCUCCCUUCAGAAGUUGGAGGGUGUUCCGAAGCAGACGGGAAGGUCGAGCUGUCCGAGGGGUUGGACGCGCUUCCCGGGGAUGAUCCCAUGGAAGGGCGCAGCGCCUGCCCGGACAGAGGAUAGAUCAACACGCAGGAGCCCGAGGGUCUCGGUGUAGAUGAUGUUGAGGCUGCUGCCUCCGUCCAUGAGGACCUUGGUGAGCCUGACGUCGCCGAUGACGGGGUCGACGACGAGCGGGUAUUUCCCCGGGCUCGGCACAUGGUCGGGGUGGUCGUCUCGGUCGAAGGUGAUGGGCUUGUCGGACCAGUCUAGAUAGACUGGCGCCGCCACCUUGACCGAGCAGACCUCUUGGCGCUCUUGCUUGCGGUGCCGAGCCGAGGCGUUCGCCGCUUGCCCACCAUAGAUCAUGAAGCAGUCGCGGACCUCGGGGAACUCUCCUGCCUGGUGAUCUUCCUUCUUGUCGUCGUCGCGGGCCUUGCCACCCUCCGCGGGUGGCCCGGCCCUGUGGAAGUGGCGCCGAAGCAUGACGCACUCCUUAAGGGUGUGCUUGACCGGUCCCUGGUGAUAGGGGCACGGCUCUUUGAGCAUCUUGUUGAAGAGGUCGGCACCUCCCGGGGGCUUCCGAGGGUUCUUGUACUCGGCGGCGGCGACAAGGUCCGCGUCGGCGGCGUCGCGUUUCACUUGCGACUUCUUCUUGCCCUUCUUCUUGGCGCCGCGCUGAGUUGACGCCUCGGGAGUACCUUCUGAUGGGUGGCCCUGGGGCUGCUUGUCCCUUUGGAAGAUAGCCUCGACCGCCUCCUGGCCGGAGGCGAACUUGGUGGCGAUGUCCAUCAGCUCGCUCGCCCUGGUUGGGGUCUUGCGGCCCAGCUUGCUCACUAGGUCGCGGCAGGUGGUGCCAGCGAGGAACGCGCCGAUGACAUCCGAGUCGGUGAUGUUGGGCAGCUCGGUGCGCUGCUUCGAGAAUCGCCGGAUGUAGUCUCGGAGAGACUCUCCCGGCUGCUGUCGGCAGCUUCGGAGGUCCCAGGAAUUCCCGGGGCGCACAUACGUGCCCUGGAAAUUGACGGCGAAAGCUUGGACUAGGUCAUCCCAGUUGGAGAUCUGCCCCGGAGGCAGGUGCUCCAACCAGGCGCGAGCGGAAUUGGAGAGGAACAGGGGGAGGUUGCGGAUGAUGAGGUUGUCAUCGUCCGUUCCACCUAGCUGGCAGGCCAGACGGUAGUCCGCGAGCCACAGUUCCGGUCUCGUCUCCCCCGAAUACUUCGUGAUAGUAGCCGGGGGUCGGAACCGGGUCGGGAACGGCGCCCGUCGGAUGGCUCGGCUGAAGGCUUGCGGACCGGGUGGUUCGGGCGAGGGACUCCGAUCCUCCCCGCUGUCGUAGCGUCCCCCACGCCUAGGGUGGUAGCCUCGGCGCACCCUCUCGUCGAGGUGGGCCCGUCGGUCGUGGUGGCGGUGCUCGUUGCCGAGGUGACCCGAGGCCGCAGGCGCGGUGUUGCGUGUGCGCCCGGUGUAGACCGAGGCUUCCCGCAUGAAUCGGGAACUCGCGGCAUGAGGUUCCGAGGGGUACCCCUGCCUUCGGGAGGCAGAGCUCUCGGCCCGUCGGACCACGGCGCCUUCCAGGAGAUUCUUGAGUUCUCCCUGGAUUCACCGCCCCUCGGUGGUUGAUGGCUCUAGCAUCGCGCGAAGAAGCAUUGCUGCUGCCGCCAGGUUCUGGCCGACCCCACUGGAUGCGGGUGGUGGCCUGAGCCUGACGUCGUCGGCGAUGCGGUGCUGGAAGCCCUAGGGUAGAUGACGUAUUUCUCCGGCCGGAGGUUGGUCCACCCAUGCCUGCCCGACGUCCCGACGAAUCGGCUCCAGCGCUCCUGCUCCCUCGUCGAGCCUGGCCUGCACCCCGCGGAUUUGCUCGAGCUGUUGGUCAUGACCCCCCGCCUGAACGGGGACCACAGCUAGCUCCCGUGGGAUGUCAAAGCGAGGCACCGGCCUAGGGAGGUCACCGUCCUCCGGCAUACCGAGAUGGCUGCCUUCGGGGGGACCCCCUAGAUCGACGUGGAAGCAUUCGCGACUUGGGCCGCGAUCCUCGUCGCCGAGGCUUCGGCCACCGUCGGAACAGUCGGAAAGGCAGUAGUCGCAUGCGGUCAUGAAGUCCCGCAUGGCACUGGGGUUACCAAGUCCAGAGAAAUCCCAACAGAUGCUGGGUUCGUCGUCUUCCUCGGACCCAGAGGGCCUGUAGGUCGAGACGUCCGUCAGCCGGUCCCAAGGUGACCGCACACGAAACCCCAGAGGGUCUGGAUUUGCUUCUACGAGAGCGCCCGCCAAAGCGAAGUCGCUAGACGGGUUGAGGCUGAACCCAAAAGACGCGGGAUGGGAAUCGAUCGGUACCUUUUGGUCGACGGGCGGCGAUAAGGUCGCGUUGGGGACUGACUGCGCCGCCGUCUCAGGUACGAGGGUGACAUCCAGCAAGCUUUUCGCGAGCGUGCUGGCGUCAUCCGCUUGCUCGGGAUUGGCGUGUCGCGGGGAGAUGGCGCUCGCCUUCGUCUCAAACGCGAGGUCGACGCCUGGUGCGCCCCCCGUUAGGGUGCCGGGACCGUCGACUCGCUCGGCAGCCGACGAGGCGCUGUCUCCUGCUUGGCCUUGGUUGCCCCGCCUCCUCCUCCGUCGACGGGGGAGAGGACGGGGUGAGCUCGAAGGUUGCUCUUCCACCAUGCGGGGAAGACGUCGCCGAUUCCGCCGCCGGCAGGCGGGUUGUCGGCCGCCACUGUUGUUGUCGCACGGCGGUGGAAGGAGUAUCAUGUCGUAGCUGCCGUCGAGGGACAUGAACUCAAGACUCCCGAAACGGAGCACCGUCCCGGGUUGGAGAGGUUGCUGGAGACUGCCCAUCUAGAGCUUGACGGGAAGCUGUUCGUCAACACGCAGCAGGCCCCUACCUGGCGCGCCAACUGUCGGCGUUCCGAGACCGGGGGGUCCCUGGGCCGACGAGUGAAUGUCGCCGCGUGCCCCAGCCCAGAUGGGUCGAGCACGAGGGCGAGCGCGAAGGGGGGAGAGAGAGGCGGCCGGAGACCGGCGUGAGAGAGGUGGGAAUCCCGCGGCCUUCGUGUUCGUCCCGCGCCCAGGUCGGGUGCGCUUGCAGUAGGGGGUUACAAGCGUCCACGCGGGAGAGGGAGCGAGCGGCUCCAGGCGAGCGCUUGUUCUCGUCCUCGUCCCCGCGCGGCCAACCUUCUCUAAGAGGGCCCUGGUCCUCCCUUUUAUAGACGUAAGGAGACGAUCUAGGUGUACAAUGGGGGGGUGUAGCAGGGUGCUACGUGUCUAGCGGAGGUGAGCUAAAGCCCUAGGUACAUGCCGUUGUGGCAGCCGGAGAGAUCUUGGCACCCAGCUGGUGUGAUGUCGUGGCCGUCGAAGGAGCGAUGGAGCUUGGCGGAGGGACAGAUGUCAGAGCGGUUGAGCCCUUGCUGACGUCCUCUUGCUUCCCUAAGGGGGCGGAGAGCCGCCGUCGUCACAGAGCAUGCGGGGUGCCAUCAUUGCCUAUCUGGCGGCGCGAGCCAGAUGGGACGCCGGUCUUGUUCCCUGCGGCCCGAGUCAGCUCGAGGUAGGGUGAUGAUGGCGCCUCCUGUCGACGUGGCUGGUCUACGCCCUAGGUUGGGCGAUGUGGAAGCUCCUCCGAAGCCGAGGUUGAGUCCGAGCCCCCGGGUCGGGCGAGGCGGAGAUCGUCGUCUUCUGGGGCCGAGCCCAAGUCCGAGCCCUAGGUCGGGCGAGGCGGAGAUCGUCGUCUUCUGGGACUUAGCCCGAGUCCGAGCCCUGGGUCGGGCAGAGCGGAGUUCGCCGUCUUCCGGGACUUAGCCCGAGUCCGAGCCCUGGGUCGGGCGGAGUUCGCCGUCUUCCGGGACUUAGCCCGAGUCCGAGCCCUGGGUCGGGCGGAGCGGAGUUCGCCGUCUUCCGAGACUUAGCCCGAGUCCGAGCCCUGGGUCGGGCGGAGUUCACCGUCUUCUGGGACUUAGCCCGAGUCUGAGCCCUGGGUCGGGCGGAGCGGAGUUCGCCGUCUUCCGGGACUUGGCCCGAGUCCGAGCCCUGGGUCGGACGGAGUUCGCCGUCUUCCGGGACUUAGCCCGAGUCCGAGCCCUGGGUCGGGCGGAGUUCGCCGUCUUCCGGGACUUAGCCCGAGUCCGAGCCCUGGGUCGGGCGGAGCGGAGUUCGCCGUCUUCCGGGACUUAGCCCGAGUCCGAGCCCUGGGUCGGGCGAAGCGGAGCUUCCUAUGGUGCCUCCGGCAGGGCCUGACCGCUUGUCAGUCUUACUCUGUCCAGUGGCACUGUAGUCGGUGUGGCGUAGGCGGCGCUGUCCUUUCGUCAGGCCGGUCAGUGGAGCGGCGAAGUGACGGCGGUCACUUCGGCUCUGCCGGCGGGGGGUGCGUGCCAGGAUAAGGGUGUCAGGCCACCUUUGCAUUAAAUGCUCCUGCGACUUGGUCGGUCGGUGCGGCGAUUUGGUCAGGGUUGCUUCUUAGCGAAGGCAGGGCCUCGGGCGAGCCGGGAAUAUGUUCGCCGCUAAAAGGGGGGCCUCGGGCGAGACGGAAAUCCUCCGGGGUCGGCUGCCCUUGUCCGAGGCUAGGCUCGGGUGAGGCGUGAUCGUGUCCCUCGAAUGGACUGAUCCCUGACUUAAUCGCACCCAUCAGGCCUUUGCAGCUUCAUGCUGAUGGGGGUUACCAGCUGAGAAUUAGGAGCCUUGAGGGUACCCCUAAUUAUGGUCCCCGACACGCCCCUUCGUUGGCACUCGGCAAACUAUUCUUUGCCGAGUGUACUCCUAGGACACUCGGCAAAUCAUACUUUUAUUUUUUAUUUUCUCUUCAAACUUUUCUAUUCUCUUUCUACGGUAUAUAAAACUACAUGUUCCAUUUUAUCACAACUAUAAAAGUGUUUGCUAUAACUAUUAGAUUUUGUUCGUUUAAUUGAAUUGACUUGGAUAAUUCAGAUUUGAAUUGCAAGUCACUCGAAAAAUGGAAAACCAUGUAUGAAAAAAUGAUAUUCAUGUUUCUUAGCACCAGUUACGACCUAUUUAACGAGCAGACCAGAAUUUCCGAGAACCAUGCUCACUAAACAUGACCGUGAACUUGUCAUCCAGUUGUUUAAAAAUUGUAUAAAACACAAACAAAGUCAAAAAAUCAUGAAACUUGUCCACAUGUUAUGAUAUCAUAUGUAGAGGCUGUGAUAAAAAUUUGAGAAUGUUUUAAGAAAGUUGUGACGCACUAUAUGUAGAAACCUAAGUCCCCCACACAUGAAAUCAUAGAGUUUCAAUGUAGACCGGCUAGAAUUCUUCACAUAGUGCGUGAUAACUUUCUCGAAACAUGCUCAAAUUUUUAUCAUAACCUCUACAUAUGAUAUCAUGACAUGUGGAUAUGUUUCAUGAUUUUCUAACUUUUUUGUGUUUUAUACAACUGGAUGGUAAGUUCACGGUCAUGUUUAGUGAGCAUGGUGCUCAAAAAUUCUGAUCUACUCCUGAAAUCGGUCGUUACUUGUGCUAACUAACAUGACAAGUUCAUUUUUGCAUUCACGGUUUUCUAUUUUACGAGUGACUUGUAGUUCAAAUCUGAAUUAUCCGAGUAAAUUCAAUUAAAAGAACAAAAUCUAAUAGUUAUAGUAAACACUUUUAUAAUUGUGUCAAAAUGGAACAUGUAUGUCUACAUAGUAUAGGAACAUACCAUAAAAAGUUUGGUUGAAAAAAGAAAAAAAUAAAAUAUACUUUACCGAGUGCCAUCCUAGGACACUUGGCAAAGUAUGGCUUCUGAGUGUCGGGUUUGAGGCACUUGGCAAAGUAGCUUCUUUGUCGAGUGCCAAAUCCCGGCUCUCGGCAAUGAUAAUGGUCGUUAGCUAUAGACGGCUGCUGAUGGCCCUUUGCCGAGCAUCGCCCUUCGCUGAGUGUUUGGCACUCGACAAAGAGGACUUUGCCGAGUGUCUUCCAGUGCUGAGAGUCCUGCUCUCGGUAAACGUGGUCGUUACCGAGAUAGGACUUGGUCGAGUGCCCGAUAAAAAGCACUUGGUAAAGCGCCAAGCACUCGAUAAAAAGCCAGAUUCUAGUCGUGAUUCUUAACUUUGAUAUGUUCACUGGCUUGCAUAACAAGCAAUCUCCACAAUAUCAUAAGAUCCCCUUUUGGCAUGGGCAAAUCUUCUUCAAUGGUCUUUCUGGUAUCCAACAUUGGCUAGAAGAUUAUUAUGUUCGUCUUCAUUUCUUGAGUGUGCAAACAUUGGUCCAUAUUCGUAUCCUUGCUGACCAUCCAUUGAUGUUCCUCCUCCUACCACUGAACCAUUUAAAACCAACACUCCUCCUCCUACUAGUGAAGUUUCUUCCACCGAUAUUUCUCCUCCUCAACCUUUCAAUUAUUCGUACCCUCCUCCAUACUCGUACUUGUAUGGGUAUCCAUAUGAUGCUCCUCCCUCAUUUCCACCUCUAUAUGAUGUUCCUCUAAUAUAUGGUGCUCAUGCUUCUUUUUACCCUUCUAUAGGCACGAUAAUGACCCCAAGCAGCCAUAACGAUGCGACCUCCAACUAGUCCACGUACUCUAGUGUGACUUAGUUCCAAUGACAAAGGGAUUGGACUAAUACGGAGGACAAAAGACUCGUAAGUAGUAAGUACAUAUAUAAUUUUAUAAAUCGGACACAAGUUUUAGGCUGACAACAUUUUUUGACUUCAUAAACUUGUAGAUCCACGCAUGGCUAUUACACUCUAUUGACCCCAUUAAAAUAAACAACAAAAAUGGAUCGAUCUUUUUAUAUAAGCCAAAUAAUAACUAUGUGCAACUCCACCUCAAAACCUCCUCACCAUAAUACCCCCAAGCAACCAAAGCACCAGUGGUCCAUAAGCAACCAUAAGGUCACCCUCUUCAAUGACACCUACAACCAAUUAUCCAUGGCAUGGAUAGUGGAGCAAAUUGUGCUAUGCUUCUCAAAGCGGAAAAGAAGAGCUUCCACAAUAGGCCUGGUGAAACGUAUUUCAACUAGAGCACAUGUGGAGUGCUCUUCACCAGUAGCCCAAGUAGUGCGCAUGGCAUGAUGAUGAUGACGCUAGAGAUGCAACCAAUAGAUCACGUCACAACAUAGAAGUCGAUUAUAGCUCCGCAUAGCUAGACAAUGUCGGACCAAUAUGCCCUAUUGUCCAUGAUAGGGCAAGAGCGCAACACAAAGGGAAGGGUCUAACAAUGAGUAGCAUAGUGAACAAGCUCUACAAGGCUAGCUAGAGGAUAACUCAAUCAAAAUUAUUUGAGAACUUCACCAAGUUAUUAGAUCAGUCAACCAUCGAUAUAGAUGAUGUCUUGAAAAAGACACAUAGGUUGGGUGUAAAAAAAUGACCAAGCAAUUAAAACUAGAUGAGGAAGAAAAUGUGGAAUAGGUGGAGGAGGGUGAUGACGAUGAGUAGUACUAAUGUAUUAUUUUUUACAAACAUGUAUUUUUAUUUUAAAAAAUACAAAUUUAUUUAUUAUUAACUAUUUAAUUUUAUUUUUUAGUUGCAUGAUCCGAUGAUUUUUUCCAACAAAACAUAGUGUAUUGUUUCAAAUACAAAUCUAUAAAAGAAAAGAUGGUGUGGUGUUGACGUGACUAUAGGUUGACAAUAAACUUAAAUAGAAUCUUAUAAUUAAUAAGGGAUCAUAGCACGAUUGAUAGUGUGAUCGAUAGCCGGUGGUUAUAACUGUCAAGUGCAUUAGAUCUAGCCUAGGCCAUAUGGAUUAUGUUAUCGCUAAGCCUCGAUCACUAUUCAUUGUAUGAAAUAUGUUAAAGACUAUGGCAUAUGGUCAAAAGUAUUGAGAUUCUUCAUAUGAAUUCAUGCUAAAAUGCUUUCACAUAUAUAGACAAUUGAUUAUGGAAGAGGUUAUAUUUGUAGGGGUGGGCCCAAUUAUAUUGAACGAUAUUCGAUUGAAUAUCUAGUUUUUUGGCAAGAAAAGUUAUAUAUUUAGUGUAUAUAUGUAUACAUACUGAAAAGAAGAAAAAAAUGAAGAUAAAUAAAUAUCCAAUGAAGAACUGGGUCCAAAAUAGACUUUUCUACUCCUAUCCCCUCCCCAUCCAUGGACUAAAGGCCCAUUUUGGUUGAAGAAUGUAUCAGGCAAAAAGCCAAAAAAAACUUGGCCUCCCCACCCUACCUAUUCGCUCUAUUUCUCAGCCUCACACUUAUGACUGUUGAAAGCAUCUAGGCCCUCAAAAGUUAUGAUGAUUAAUGACAUUAUAAGAUUAUUGUGACUAAUUUGUGUGUUGCAUAGGCAAAUUUGAGUUAGAUCAUAAUGAUGGAGAAUGGUUUAGACAAUGUAUGUUUACUAUGCCCCUACUUAUGAAUUUCGUUAUGAAUCAAUUAGUUCUAAACUUCGAUUGGAGUUGAGACACACUUAGAGUAGUUUGGGACUUUGUUGUUCCUUUUAUCAUACUAUAAAGGGAGUAGUUUAGGACUUCACUUUUCCUUUGAUCGUACUAUAAGGGGAGUAUAAACUAGUAGCUUGAAUAAAUAAGUCUAAUGAGUAUAGUGUGGCAUAAACUAGUUGUUUCUAACUCUAGCUGACUUAGAAGGGGCCAAAAAAAUCAUCAAAACCUAAAACAGUACCUCAUCGAACCAAUGCAUUGGGUCCAAUUGUUUUUGUGAUCAGAUGGAGAGUUCUAGGGGUACGUUGGAUUGGUCCGAUGAUAUGUGUUAGACCGAACAAUGGCACUGUUUCAGCUAUGGUUUUGGCUAUAGGGUCAUCGGGCCCUAUGAACAGUUGCCUCAUUGAAACAAAGAGGAUAAGUAUAACAAGUGCUGCACAAUGACUAGAGAGAUUUUGGUGGGCAUCAUACUAGUCCGACAAUGGGUAUAGGAUCAUACGUCGAAGGCUACGUUUUAAACGACCAGUUCUAACAUGGCAGUACAAUAGUUACCAUUGUGUCUCAUUAGACCCUACAUUCUGGUACGACAAUGAUCAUUGGAUGGUAUGGCGAUGGUGAAUUUAGCCUAACUUGGCAGUAAUGGUUAGUUGGCUGGUUAGGGGCUAUAAAUACCCCAUCAAAUGGCCAGCACACCUACCCUUGCCUUCAUUUAAUAACCAAAGCAACCCAUAUAUUGUGAGAUAAGGAGUCAUUGCAUAGUGGGGGACUUGAGAGUCAGAUUCACAAGUUUAUCAGCCUAAUUAAUGCAAACAAGAGAGAUUAGUGUGCACCCAUUAAUCUCAUCAGUUUUUAGAGACAAGUGAUAAUUUAUGUUUAUUACUCUUGAUGACUAGCAUCACCUAGAUGGUUUGGUGGCACUUGAAGUGCAAUGAUCAUCUAGAGAGAUAGUGGGUGGCCCAACUCAAAAACUAUAUAUGGUUGUGAGCAGUUCACCGUGAUGCAGUGGAAAAGAACUAGCUUGCAGUGAGCACUUAGUCCAUGUGCGAAUCAAGGGUGGGUGAAAACCUUCUGUGGGUGCUCCAAUGAGGAUUAGGGAAGAACGACGACUCUCUGUGACAUCAGAACGAACUUGAGGAAUCUUCUAAAUUCUUGCAUUACUUUCCACAAUUAUGUUUGUACAAAUUUACAUUCUUCUUAGAUUUGCCAUGAUGCAUAGUGUUGAAAUUAAGGCACAAUUUUUUUAUAUAGAUUAGACACUUGGGUGAAGCUAAGAUUAUAAUUAGGAUAUGCAUAUGUAUUGUGAUGAAAAAAUGAAGAUCAAUAAACAUCUAGUGACAAAUUAAAAUUUAAAUAGAUUUUUCUACUCCCCUCCCCACCCGGAGAAAUCCACAGCCACCCUUCCCCACCUAUUCACUCUCUUUCUCGGCCCCUCUCGUGAUUGCAACUAAAAAGCUCGUGAUUGGCAACACCACAAGCCCACUACUUAUCCCCCUUUAGAAUUAAACACCAAUGAGGAAGAUAUUAAAUUAAAGAAAUAGGGAUGGCCAAUUCUUGUGACCCUAUAAAAUUUUCCUCCUUCCAAAUGAAAUCUCCCCCUUUGUUAUAAGAAUUUGUUCACAAUAAUUUGACCCUUGCAAUAAAUAGACUAAGUUGAUCCUAUAUGUAUGCAUAAAUAUGAUGAAUAGAAAACCAUAUGCAUAACAUAGUAAUGAAUUGAAAACAUGUGGGAGUUUAACCUAUACGAAGAAAGCAAGAAAGAGAUACUAAAUAAUCUUGAAACCAAUAUGCAUGGUGUUUGGGGUCUGCUUCGUCGCCGAAGGUCCUGUGAGAUGAAGCACCUUCGGAAGGUCAGAAGAAGAAUAAUGUCGAAGCUACCAAUCAGGAAGCUUCGUAGUAUAAUUCAAAAUGCACCGACUUAAAGAUGAGAUGACCAAUCGGCCCAUGAUAAACUGUGUAAAAAUUGUAAUCAUUUAUAGAGGACAUGAAUGUAAAUUCACACAGGAUGCGUCCUAUGCCUAUAAAUAGGUGAACAGUACCCCAUACUGUUCAAACUUUUUCGCAUCACAUCUAUAUCUUCGUAUUCGAUCAAGCUCAAGGUACAAAUGUAAUUUAGUUUAACUUUCAUGUAUUCUUGAUUAUUUAACAAUAAAUGUUCAUAUUUCAAUAUUAUGUAAUUAUUUAUGUUGUUGUCUUAUGUUUCAUAACCUUCAUCCUUUAAUUAUACAUGUCGUGUUUAUGAAGGUAUGUCCUUCAUAACCUUCGUCUGAAGAUCAUUAUAUUCUAAGGGAAAUAAUGCUUAGAAGGACGAAGGACAUUAACAUUUAAUAUUUUUCUGGUGUGUUGCCUUGUUCUUAAUUCAUAGCAUUUGAGAACAAGUCUCCAACACAUGGUAUUAAAGUCGAUAUAUGUAUGGUACCUACUGCUGUAGAAAUCUUGAAACACAAAGAAUGUUACUUGAUAAACUUGUUUGAUUUCACACCCUUGAAGAGAACGAAAAACACUCUACAUAAUGUUGAUGUAUGGAACGUAUAAACAAACAUAAUUCGCGGGGUAAUUAGCUAAACUUGACGACUAGUAGUGUGGGUUGACGGCGAAGCACUUCUCCCUGAUCUCUCCCUCGUCGCCGGUGAGCACCUGGACCUUGCCCAUCUUAACCAUGGCCUUGGCGAACUUGACCUGCCAUGCCUUCUCGACUGCGGCGUUGAAGUGGACCAUUCCGGCAGUCCAUGGGUUUUCGAGCAGUGUGUUGUCGGAGAUGAACAGGACCUUGUGCGCCAGCACGUUCUUGUAGUACUGGUUGUCGAAGGUCGCCGACGUGACUGGGUCAAGCGGCACCACCGUGGGGUCCAUCUGGUCGUUGCUGGACGGCCAUGGGCAGCGCAUCUUGAGGUGCUCAGCGUAGGCAGGGUCGAGGGACGGGUCCGUCCGCCCCAGCUGCCCGCUGAAGUUGUAGAGGCGCUCCGUGAACGAGGAGCAGUGGGAGCGCCCGAUGGUGUGCGCGCCAGAGAGCGUGACCAUGUCGUCGGCGUUGAGCCCCUUGCGCUUGAAGCUCUCGAUGAGCUCGUCGACCUCGUCAGUCGGGGCAGGGACAUUGUUGUCGAGCACCUCAUCCUCUUUGGACACGCGGCCGUCACGGCGGCCAGACGGGACCUUGUAGUCCAGGCCGCCGGCGAGGUAGGCGCUGUCACGGGCCGCGAACGCGACGAUGUCGGCGCAGGAGACGGUGCGCGGGCAGUGCGCCUCGAGGACGGCCUUGGCGUCGUCGACGACGUCGAAGCCACGCAUGCUGGGGUUGUUGGCCACGGAGUCCUUCUCGGCCUUGUUGUCCGGCGUGG
rnacentral:lncRNA from 1 species